GGGACCCUGACUUCCGUGAGACUGACCCUACCAGCAAGGAAAAAGACCGGUGACAGUUGUGGCGGUAGUGGCGGUGGUGGCCCAGAAGAUUUCCGGUGGUUGGCGGUUCGGACAAAAAAAAAUUAAAAUUUACAAAAUCUGGCUCUUGUCAAUUUUACAGGAGAACCCCUGGAUGAGGUGGUGAGGCAUGCAUGCUGGGGUGUUGAGAAAUAGGGAACAAUCGCUCUAAGGAUGAGAUUAUCCUGUGCCCAAACUAAGCAUAUGCGAGGGGCUAUUAAAUUCGAUUUGAGUUUUUUUGGCCAGCAUUUGGCUCUUUGCCCAUGUGAAAACGUUUGAUCAAUUGGGGAUUGGAAAAAACAUAUCGUUGAUGUGCUGAUCUGUUGGGACUUGGAGCAAAAAAGACCACCCCUAUCCAAGAUAUUUUCUUCAACUUUACACUUAAACGUUUUGGAAAAACAAGGGGAAAGAGCAAGAUCGAUUAAAUUGCCACAAGAUGUACUGUUUGAUGUGAUUAUUGGUUUGUAUAAUUUACAAGGUGGUAUGGAUCAUGCUAGAAACAAUCGUUCACUCGAUAUGAAAUUUGGAAAAUCGUUUAUCAGUUUGAUUAGAUAUGGGAACACAAUCAGACACAUACUUGGUCACUAAAUUUGAGAAAUUUGAGAUGAUUCGACAAUUUAGUACGACAUUUUGAUGAUUUGGAGUGGGCUGGAGUACACUGUGAGUCCGUGAUUGUCCUUACCAGUCCACUAUAGUCAACCCUUGAGUCAAUAUCUCUCUAUAAUGGAAUUAAUAGUUAGCAAUCACUCAUGAGUAACAUGCACUAGAAUAGCUCGUAGUCUUACAAGGGGCAUUGGUUAGUCGAAAGACAUAACAAAGUAAAACACCCCUUCAUUAGUUUCAUUAGUGAAGUUGCUUACUUAUCACAUAAACAACUGUUCUUAGCAUUCUUAUCUUUUACAUUCACUUAUCAUCAUCAUUAUCAUAUGAUUGUAAGAGGGGGAAUUUAAUGGGUAGGUUUUUCCACUAACUUGGAAUUUGUAUGGCUGAGGUUCCCAAAAUUAAUCUUAUUGUUAUGAUUGAGGCACUUGAGGGACUCAUCAUGUUCUUGAAUCAUCCACAAAACAAAAAGCAGUGGAUGUGGCUGGAUAAGAAUUCUCUUCGGAUCUUGUUUGUGAGGAUUUUGAAAAUCAUUUUAUCCUAUUUGUUCAUUGUCUAUUACGUAAUCGUGAAGUACUAUUUAUAUUUAAUUUUAAAUAAAAUAAUUCAAAAUAAUUUAUAACCACAAGAUGACAAAUUAACGGACAUGAUAAAGUAAUUCUUAAUAUUGAGAGGAUUCGGACAUGAUCUUAUUCCGACGUGGCCCCAUCCAAUACAUUUGACUUAAAAAUGUUAUAGUAUUAUUUGGGUUGGCUUUUCUUCACCUGAGAAGAUGUAAACUUUUCUUGCCUUCGUGGCUAACUCUGUUCAUUUGUUCGGUAACUGUCAAUGUUGUUGGAGCAUGAAAAUCAAUCAUGAAAAUUAAAUAUGUAAAGGAUAAUCUUUUUAUAUAAAUAAUCAGCAAACUUCGUCACUGCCUACUUGUAUUUACCUUCAAAGAACAUAGCAAUAGUGAGAUUAGAGAAUAAAAUAAUAGAAUUAUGAAUUUCUUGAUCACCAAAAUGAGUUAGAGAAUGUAAAAUAAGAAGUUAAUUACAAUCAAUUGAUUAUAAAAUACGAGGACGUAUUGAAAAUGGUGAAUUGCGCGGGUGGUUAAGGCAUUUUUCUUCAAUUCAUUGUGCAUUAUAUCAUAUUCUCUCAUAUUAAGGUAGAUUAGUGUAGAAUAUCGCUUGUACUUUAAAAAAAAUAUUAAAUUAUGUUUGGAUAAGGGAUUUACAGUAAAUUAAUUAUAAAUUCACUAGACUAAUUGAUCAUGCAAAAAUAACUUACCUAAUUUUUUGUUAAAAAGAAAUUAUUUAAUUAACAACGAGGGAGACUUGAACUCGAAUGCAAUAAGACGACAACAGUGCCUUGGCCGAUAGACCAAACUCACAACAAUAAUAACCCAAAGAAGGAGUUUGAACAAGAACUCACAUGUCUAACAUCAUUGUCCGGCGACCGGAAUUGUGCCUCAUGGUGUGCUAUNUUUUAGGGAAAUGACAUUUUUACUCUAAAAAGUCACUCAAAGUUUUCAAACCAUUUUUCAUUAGUUUUCCUUAUAUCAAAUGAAGUUUUAUCGUUAAUCAUUUUUUUUAGAAAAAUUAAGAACCCCUAUUAAUAAAUGUGAAUAUGUGCAAGUGGCCAUUUACCAUAGUGAUGGAAAUGUGUUGAGCCUUUGCAUGACGGCAUGAGUUUAAAUCCUGUUAGUGACUAAUCUAACAUCUAAUCUAACAAAAUCUAUCGUUUGACAAUAAUAAUAAUAAUAAUAAUAAUAAUAAUAAAUGUGAAUAUGUGCUACUAGUUAAACAAAUAAGAUGGUGGCAUUACCAGUUAAAUUUAUCUUUAUUUUUUAUGAAUGAAUAAACUUCCACAAAUUUGGGGGUAGUAAUUUUGUUGUCAUAGGAGGACAACAAUUUUACACAAGCAUAGUGUAGAAUUUCAAAUAUGCUUAAGCUCAGACAAAUAACUGAAAUCAUUAAUGUUAUAUGUAUGAAAAGUUCAUUAAACAAACAUGCCCAAAGAUUGUGGUUUUUUUUUUUUUGGUUCCUCCAAAAACGGUUCUAUAACACUCAUUCUCCUUUCGAGCGCUCUUCUUUCGUAUAAUGGUUUUUCAGAAGUUUCAGUGUGUAUCAUUGAGAUUUAGAUAAAAAUCAGUAAAGAAUUUGAACGAUUAGGUUAAUUAACUUUUGUGCGCUUUUUAUGUUCAUACAAUACGAUAUUGAUAUGCUUCAACAUGAACCCUUGUAGUUUAGAUUACGAUGAAUUAAGAUUACAGUUCAUAGCCUUAAUUAGGCUUGGCAUUUUGGACCCAACCCGUUAAUAUUUGUAUUUGGGUGGAUGCUUAACGGGUCGGGUCGCUAACGGGUGAACCCGUUAACAACUCGUUAAAUAACGGGUCACUUUGGGUCAACCCGUUAGACCCGUUAGGACCCGUUAGCACCCGUUAGUUGAUGAUAUUUUAGUAAUUUUAGUAAAGUCUUAAUAACAAAAAAUAAAUUUUAUGCAAAAAAAUAAAUAAUAAUACUAACAUUAAAUAAUGAGGUGGGAAAAUACUAAAGUUGAUUUUCACUAAUUGACGUUUUUAAAGUUCUAAUCCCCCAAAUUGACCCAUUUUAGCCAAGUUAAAUUGUAAAUUUGCUUAGCUACAUGACGUCAAUUUGGAGAUUCAAAUCUUUGUAGAUGACCUGAGAGUUAAAACAUGCUUAAUAUUUGUCAAUGUCAUCACUGAACGCUAGUGAACCUAAUAGAUGAAUUUUUCAAAUGUUUAGGUAGUUAUUUGGAAUGUUUUAAAAUGUUAAGACAAAUUUGAAAUUGCGCCUAAAGGCUGGGUAGUUAGUUAUCUGGACUUAAUCCAAAUUCACCCAAAAUUUUAUUUUAAGAGAAUAAAAUGAAUUUGCACGAGUAAUUGGUAUAGCCGCACUCAGGAUGACUCUUAGUCAUCAAUAAAUUUGGACCUCUUUAUGAGAUUCAUUUCCACGAGAGCGUGCAUAUCUCAAAGUCACCCAUGCGACAAUCCUUAACAUUUCUUUUGCAUCCCAAAUCUGCUGAUCACACAAACAAAAAAUAAAAAGAAUGUAAGAGUUUAGGAUCCAAAUUACUUAUGCUCUUUCAUUCAACCCAGAUAUCCAGAAAAAUAAUUCAGUCACCGAUCAUGUCGUUGAGUUUAAGGGUUUUGGGGAGGGUGUGUAAGAGAGAGAGAGAGAGAGAGGGAGAAGAUGCUUUUGUUUCUUAAUACCAUCUCCAAAGGAAAUCCUUAACAUUUCUUUUGCAUCCCAAAUCUGCUGAUCACACGAACAAAAAAUAAAAAGAAUGUAAGAGGUUAGGAUCCAAAUUACUUAUGCUCUUUCAUUCAGCCCAGAUAUCCAGAAAAUUAAUUCGGUCACCGAUCAUGUCGUUUUGAGUUUGAGGGUUUUGGGGGGUCACAGAGAGAGAGAGAGAGAGGGAGAAGAUGCUUUCGUAGAGAGGGAGAAUAUGCUUUUGUUUCUUAAUACCAUCUCCAAAGGAAAUGUUAAAUUAUAAGAGUUAGAUUACAAUUGAUGGCUGAUGUGACAAUGUAAAGCCUCAUAUCAAAUUUUACAAUUCUCCAACCGAAUUGUCAAAUGUUAUUUUAAUAUUUAAAAAGAGUUUUAAAUGAUUGUAAUUAUUAAAAAAAACAUUGAAACAAAAUUUUUAUUAGUUGAAAUGUUAGUGGAACAAGGAACCCACUAUUAAAAUGAAUUAAAAAUAAAUUUGACAUUGAUGUCAAAUUUGAUAUUAAAUCACUAAGCUUUCAAAUCCAAUCAGUAAAUAACACUUUGAUUGGAGAGAUUUUUAAUAUCAAAUAUGCACAGUGACAUACCUUCUAGAAUUUUGACAUAUUUUUUAAAUGCUUUUACUCACAGGUCUUGACGCCGUUUUAUAGUUGAAAGACCGCAUUCAUAUUUACCAAAAUGCACUUGGACCGCACACCAAAUUUCAGAGAUAUUGCUCUAACUGAAAUUGGCGUUCGUUACAAAUUUCAUUGUCAAAAUUACCAAAAUGUCCAUCACACAAUGACCAAAUUAACCUCAUUUAUACGUUGGUAUCGUGUAGGGUAGUUUUAGAGUUAUAUCAAAGUAAAUUAAACUGUCAUUACUUAAUUACAGAGGAAGGUAAAUCCUGCAUGCUGACUAUCAAUAUGAACUACGAAUAUUCUUUUGGAUUAAAUACUUGCAAUGAUGGGGAAAAUUGAAGUUGCUGGAUCUAAUAUUUGUAGACAACUAUUAAAUAUAACUUUUAUGUUAACAAAAUUCUUCUUCCUUUUUAUGUAAUUUGAGUCUUAAAAUAAAAGUAUUUGAGUAUAAAAACCUUAGGUGUCCAAACUCAUAUCAAUGAUAAAUCAUCGCGACUGGAACUGUCUAGCAGCACGUGUUUUGGAUGAUCAGUUUGACUCCAACUUCUACUGCUAAUAGUUCGUUAAAUAGAUUGUAUAUGAAAACGGCCCGACAAAAUGGAAUUAAUGAUGAGAUUUAAAAUGAUAAUAAAAAGUUAUAUAUCGACAAAUUCUAUCUACAUCAUAUGCGAUGUUAUGAAAUUUAACUUUAUCACUAUGAAAUUUAGAUUUUGAAUUGUAUUAUGUAUUCACAAUAGACGUACGUAACUUAUAAGUUUUAAAAAUAUUAGAGUUGCACCCUACACACCACAACAUCAUCGAUUUGUAUCGAAUAGCAAGUAUAUAUAUUAUAAUUGAAAAUCAUAAAAUCGUACUAAAAAUGGUAAAUAAUGUACAAAAUGAUAAGUGAUAAUAAUACAAAAUAAAAGGUACGAGUGUGAUAAAACAUAAGGGGUACAAUGGUAAAAGAGUCUAGAUAAAGAGGUUGAGAAAUUGGAGGGAAAAAUAUCAAACACAGAAAGUAACGGAGUUGACAAGUAGGCAAUAACGCCUUCCAACAAAAUGCCAGAUUUUUAUUCACGUGGAAAUGCCGUUUUAGCAGUCAAGCUUCCAGAUCAGCUCGUACCGUUGGAUUCCAUAUCUGGUGCAUCCUCCUCCGUCCAUCUAAUCCAUCCAACGGCGCCAAAUGCACCAACAUAUUAGUUUCGUGGUUUGACAGAAUGUCCCUAUAUUUUGACUGUUAAUUUUUACAGCCGUUAGAUCACAUAAAACAAAUAAUAUAAUGGCUCAAAAUCAUUAGAUUAUACAAAACUAACAUUCUUCUCCUCAUUGCAGCCUUCAGAUGCCUCAAAGAUCUCCUCUAUCAUUUUUAAAAUGAAAAAACCACCUAAUACGAAUUCGAGAAUAAUAUAUAACCGGAUUGCAACUAUGCACGUACGAAUUGAGUCUUGAAUUAUUUUAUAGGUGAAGACGGCGGUUUUACUGACCACAAUAUUGAAAAACAAUGUGCUCGAAACCGAGGAUGAAAUUAUGUUUUAAUACACCUUAUCUAGUUAAGAUUUGUUUUAUAUUUAUUCAGCACAUGAUUGUUCUUUUUUCUUUUUGAGAAGAUUCAUUGUUUUUAAUUUCAACGGAAUCUACGUGUAUUCGAUUCUUAGCUCCAGUAAAGAUAGCGUUGUGAAGAAUUAUCUCACAACGAGGUUUGUAGAGUUUUUAUUUUAUAUUUUAAUUUUUUUUAAUUUUAAUAUAACGAUAUAUUUAAAAUUAGAAUAAACAAAGAGUUGCAGCCCUUCAAUGUGCUCUCUACUUUUUGUGCGCUCGUUGACCACAUGUUUGUAAUUAAUGAAUUUUAAUUUGUUCAACGACAAUGCUAUAUGUUGUGGACAUAAAAAUGUAGUAUUAAUAAACAAACACACAUGAUAUAAUUUGAGUGAAUUUAUAAAAUUAUGUGAUUGCGUGACUAUUACACUAGUUAGUAAACAAAAUAAGGCAAUUGAAGAAAAAUAAACAAAAACACUCUGCAAGAAUUUUAUUUCUUGAAUCAUUAGUGACAGCCCAAUGGGUUAUUAUAACCACUAAAAUCUCUUGCUGAGAGGUUUCUAGUGACGGAUUAUUAGCCACAAGAUUGUCACUCAUCCUAUCUUCGAGGUGGAGCGAUGAUCACAGAUCACCAAUCACCAUUAACAAUUUGAUGGGAUAAUUCUGCAGAAUUUUUAUCAUGGUGGAGGAAGUACUUUUGAGCAUGACUUACAACUUGUGUUGGGGUUAUUGUCACAACGCAGAGCCUGGAAAUGCUCUUCCAGUCUCUCUUCCCAUAUUCCUGUAAGCCCUUCAAGAACAACCUGACCAAAUCAUGGCCAAAAUUUUCAAAAAUAACAUAAAAAUUGAAGAUUAAUUAAUAACCGUGAGUUAUGCAAUGUGUUCUCGUCCUAUAUCUCACAAAUUAAAAUAUAUAUUAACAAACUGUAAAUCUAAACCACACAUUUAUAAGGACUUACCUGUGUUCUUCCUCGGUGCUUUGUUCUAAUCAAGGUUCUAAAAGUCGCUAGGCGCUAGUCGGGCUGGGGCCUAGCGCCUAGGCGGCUAGGCGGAUUUAAGUAAAUCUAUCAUAUUUCAGGUAAAUAAGUGUCUGCUUCUACUUGAAAUAUAUAUAAUUUCAUCAUAAACUACAAAAUAGAAUGCAUAUAUAUCAUGAAGUAUUGGAACAUAAUGAAAACAUGUGAAAUAAGGAUAUAAUGUUUGUUCAUUCAAGUAUGCAACAAGUCUCUUACAAUUUAUUGGAAAAAAACAAAAUGCAAAAUGAAAGUUAUGUAUUUUCUGUCUAAGUGAGUUGCAACCUAGGCGGGUCUAGGUGGGUGCCUAGGCGGGUGCCUAGGUGGUCUAGGCGGUGGGCUGGGGCCUAGGCAUUAAUCGGGCCGAUGGGCUGGGGCCUAGCGCCUAGGCGGGGCUGGAGCCUAGCGCCUAGGCGGCGCUAGGCGGAGAUUUUUAGAACAGUGGUUCUAAUCGAUGAAAGUCUCGUACUUGGGUACCGCUAUACGACCCGACUCGAUCAUCAAAGUGUCCUCAACCAAUGCUUCCAAGUGCUUCUUCACUUGCUCAAUAGUAAUCUCAGACCUGAACAACCAUGCAGUAGUAAAUCUUUGUGCCAAUUUUGACCCACCAUACAAAAUACUUUCUUUAGUUUUUUUUUUUUUUUUUUUUUUUUUUUUUUUUUUUUUUUUUUUUUUAAAUUCUCUUUCUUUAGUAUUUUAAUCUUUGAGUUUUGUUCUCAUUGAUUAUUUGAAAGAAAAAAAAAUUAGGCAGUUAACAGUUACCCGCAGGAAGAGGGUUACAUGUUGUGUGUGGUUCGAAAGAGGCACUCAAGGAAUUUCAGCAAAACUUUAUGGAACCUGUUAAAACCCAAAAGCACUUACUGAGAUUGUUUCUUCUCAGAAGAUAUGUACAUUGCUUUGAGAUCAGAAGAUAUGUACUUUAAUUUCAUGGUUUCUCUCUCUUCUUGAAAGGUAAUUUCUUUCUUUCCAAGAAAGCAAAUAUAUAUUCAAAUUUGGCAUUAAUUUCUAAUUAAAUUAUAUAAAUUUAAGGUUGAUGCUACAAAGUCCAAGAGUUUCUCUAUUUCUCUGCUGAAUUCCCUUCUGGGUUUGAAAGGUCCUCCUGUUGUUUGUGGCAGCAGAAAGAAUGUGGGGAGCUGUUUUUGUAGCCAUUGCUGCUGCGACAGGAAACUUGUUGCAAGGAUGGGACAAUGCAACCAUUGCAGGUACUAUUUCUAUGAUGGUUCUCUUAUUCGAGCGACAUUUCAAUCUAAUUUAAACUACAUAAGAGAGAUUCGAACUCGGGUAAAUGCUAAUCUAAGUAAUAAGUCUUUGAGAUCUCAUUUGAGGAAUGAAUAAUUAUCUUCUUUUGCAAAUGAUUGCACAUAUCUUUAUUUAAUUUGAGUUAUGAUAGUUGUAGGGUUUUCCUCGUCAACCCGGAAAACGUAUCAAAAGCAGGCAUUGAGUUGUGUGAUUUGGGGCUUAGUUAGUAUGGAAGCUGUGACAUUUACAAAUCAUAUUUGCAGGGGCUGCUUUACAUCAAAAGGGAAUUUAAGUUGGAAACCCAACCGACAAUUGAAGGGCUUAUCGUAGGCAUGUCUUUGAUCGGUGCCACUGUCAUCACAACAUUCUCAGGGCCAGUUUCAGACUGGCUAGGAAGACGUCCAAUGCUGAUAGUUUCAUCAGUUUUAUAUUUUCUCAAUGGUUUGGUAAUGCUAUGGGCUCCAAAUGUCUAUGUUCUUCUUUUGGCAAGGCUACUAGAUGGUUUUGGAAUUGGACUAGCCGUUACUCUUGUCCCGUUUUACAUUUCCGAAACUGCCCCACCCGAAAUCAGAGGGCUACUGAACACUCUCCCACAGUUUACCGGUUCGGGAGGGAUGUUUUUGUCAUACUGCAUGAUGUUUGGAAUGUCACUGAAGGAUGCCCCCAGUUGGAGAAUGAUGCUUGGAGUUCUUUCUAUUCCUUGGUUUAUUUCGGAUUGACUCUGUUUUACUUGCCGGAGUCUCCACGGUGGCUUGUUAGUAAAGGAAGAAUGGCUGAGGCUAAGAAAGUUCAGCAGAGACUACCUGGACAGGAAGAUGUUUCAGGUGCAUAAAGUACUGCAUUUGAAUUUAUGAAUGCUUAUGUUUUCGGUGCUGAUAUUGUGCUUAUGUCUAAAAGUAUAGCGGGUUUUCACCUUUUUCAUUUUUUGAAAGCUUAGUUUUUUAGGAUUGAUUGAUAUGAAGGUGAGAUGGCUUUGCCGUUCGAGGGACUUGGUGUUGGAGGGGAAGCAUCAUUGGAAGAGUACAUAAUUGGACCGGCUAAUGAGGGCAGUGAAGGCCAGGAAAUGACUUCGGAUAAAGAUCAAAUAAGGCUGUAUGGACAGGAGGAUGGGAGGGCUUCAAUGCUCGAGGGGAGGGCGUCAAUGAUUGCGAAAUCUGUCACAGGACAAGCCAAUCUUGGCUUGAUGUCGCGACAAGGAAGCUUGUUGAAUCCAAACGUGCAUUACGUGGAUCCUCUUGUGAAUCUAUUUGGCAGUGUUCAUGAGAAGCUUCUUCCCGAAAACACAGGAAGUAUGUGCAGCCUUCUUAAUUUGCAGAACAUGGGCAGCAUUCUCAACAUGGGCAGAGUGCUAAAUGUGGCGCUGCGUGGACGCCAAGACAAGAUGGAGAAUUGGGAUUUGGAGGGGAAUGGAAAUGCAGCUGAUUUUGAGGACAAUGUUCGAAGGCCAUUGCUCUCAGGUCAAAAAUCAGCAAGUAUGGUAAAUGACAUGAUGCCUAGUAAGUCCAAUAGCUUAUUUGGCAUGAGGCACAAUAGCAGCCUCAUGCUGGGGACUAGUGGUGAAGCUGUGAGUAGUAUGGACAUUGGCGGUGGCUGGGCGUUGGCUUACAAAUACUCUGAGAAGGUUGGAAAAGAUGGAAAAAAGACAGAAGAGUACCAAAGAGUCUAUUUGCACCAGGAGGGUGCACUUGAGUCUUGACGAGGCUCAAUGCUUUCAGUUGUUGGCGGUCCUGAAAUGGCUCAAGACAACGAAUAUUUUCAAGCUUCUGCUCUGGUUAGCCAACCUUCUCUAAUUUUCAAGAGGAACCAACUGAGUCAACAUCUUGGAGAAGGAAAGAUUGAAACCCAGGAAACUGUUGUUGAAGGAUCCGUUUGGAAGGAUCUCUUAGAACCAGGAGUCAAGCGCGCAUUGUUCGUUGGGGUGGCAAUUCAAAUUCUUCAGCAAGUACUAAUUCACGUUCGCGUAAAUGUGGUAGAAAUAGUUUUAUUGUAAUGUGUACUACACGUUUCUAAUUAAUACAUCUGAGAGUUUUGAAUAAUGACUGAUUGUUUUUUAUCUUUGCAGUUCUCUGGCAUAAAUGGGGUUCUUUAUUACACUCCCCAAAUUCUUGAGCAAGCAGGGGUGGCAAUUCUCCUAUCGGAUUUAGGCCUUAGUUCCACCUCUUCAUCUAUUCUCAUAAGUGCUCUCACAACCCUAUUGAUGAUUCCGUCUAUCGGCAUUGCCACGAGACUAAUGGAUACUUCUGGCAGAAGGUAUUUUUAUAUAUAGUAAUUCCCUUGCUCCACAAGUAAACCAUUAACUGUUCUCUUCAUCUCUUACUCGUCUGUCUUUGCCACAGGUCGCUGUUGUUGACUACAUUACCGGUGCUAACUGGCACCCUCCUAGUACUAAUUUUCGGACAACUUGUCCAUUUGGGUUCCGUUGUCAAUGCAACAAUUUCUACAAUCAGCAUUGUGGUCUACUUCUGCACCUUUGUCAUGGGGUUCGGACCAAUCCCUAACAUCCUUUGCUCGAAGAUCUUCCCGACUCAGGUUCGUGGCCUCUGCAUUGCAAUAUGUGCCCUGACAUUUUGGAUUGGAGACAUCAUUAUGACUUACACACUGCCUAUCAUGCUCACCUCGAUUGGCCUCGCCAGUGUUUUUGCUAUUUAUGCUGUUGUGUGCACCAUUUCUUGGGUGUUUGUUUUCUUCAAAGUGCCAGAAACAAAGGGAAUGCCGUUAGAAGUUAUCUCUGAGUUUUUUCUGUGGGUGCAAAGCAGGCAGAUUGAUGAAAAGUUGACUUGAUAGUCGAGGAAUUGAUGAUGUUGUUUUGAGUUUUGUUCUUUGUUAUAUUCAUAUUGAUUAUCCUGUUGUUGUAUAUAUAAUCUUUGGAUAUGUGAGAUUCUAGCUAGUCAUCUCUUGAAACGAACUAUCGGUUUCGGUGUAUAUUUGAUUAUAUUUCUAAUGUAACUCUAAACGUCUAAUUAAGAUGUCGUUUUACCAACUAGUUAUUGGUUUCUCGUGCCAAUGUUAAAAGAAUUCCCAAGUUUAAGCAUGUUGGGAUUGAGAUGAACUAGGUCCAUUUCUUUGUUCUUUGGUAGGCCUUCGAUCCGCCCCACAACCCAAAAAAAAAAAAAAAAAAAAAAUCAUGACAUUUUAAUAUGAACGAUAUUGAGAAAGGAGAAUUGAAACAGAGGACCUCAGGCGCGAGAUAUUUUUUCAAAUACCAGAUAUUUAAGGAGAAACUAAUAUAUUUUUCAGUGUACCUCCACUUAUAUUAUGAUAGAUUGAGUACUUGCUUAAAUAACAAGGGAGGGGAGUUGGUGGGAUGGAACUAACUCCAAAGUGAAUACACAUGAUUGCUUUAUAUCAUCGCAGUAAAGCACCAUCUCCAGCUUUGUUGAAUGCCCAUUUCUUCAUAUACAUACAUAUAUAUAUAUAUAUAUAUAUAUAUAUAUAUAUAUAUUUGCCAUUUAACAAAGCUAUCGAACGAGGGAGUAAGUAUUCUAGCGGUGGUUGUUAGCACUCUUUUUCCGUGCCAUUCUCUAUUUGUUUUUACAAAAGAAGAAUUAGAAAACUAAUGAAAAGCAUGUCACAAACUUUUUUCAUAUAGAAACACUUAAUUAACUUUCUUUACUGAUUAUGACAAAACGCGGUGGCAGUAUCAUAAUUAUAUUAAAUUUGGAUGUGGUAGUAGUUUUGUAAAUUUUCAAAUGACUCUUUAUUACAGUGGUAGAAAACAAUCAUGCAUAUGCAUUUUGGUGUGGUUCAAUCCCACUGCUCUCCUCCCCCUAACAAUUAACAAUUUAACCCAAUAACGCUAACGGUUGUCCAAAAAAUAAGAACCUAACUUUUUUUUUGUGGAAAAUCUACGUGGUACAAAAGAAUUUUAUUAAUCAAAAUGAAAAAAUUACAUCUAAUUUGGAGGAUAUAAAUCUCAUCCCUUAAAUUCAAAGAAAAAGAAAUAUAGGAAAAAAAAGAGGGGAAAAGAACCUUACCUCUCUAAAACAUAAAAAUAUUACAAGAAAAGAAGAAAAUAUAAAUCUUAUCCUUCUUGAAACAGAAAAAUAUUAUAAGAAAGAUGAGGAACAUUGUACCUAACCCAUCUAAAAUAAAAUAUAAAAGGUAAGAAACUACAAUAAUUGUCAAUUUAAUUUUGUGCUUCAUUUUUCCUAUUUAGAUCUCUAGCAAGCGACUCAUACUUGACUUUGGUAAUUACUAGUGCAUUUUGGAUAGAAACAUAGAUAAAUAUUCAAGUACACUUUUUGUUAAUGUCGUGUAUUAUUGCUCUAUAUUUGUGUUUUUACAUUCUUUUCCACAAUUCUCUGAAAUAUAGCAAAGAAAAAUGUGUGAUUUGUUUUUAAUUGUUAGCUAUGAAGCUACAUUAAUCAACAACAUUGUUCAUGAUGGAAUUAUUAAAGUUGCACCAUAAAAAGGCAUGCGACUCAAUAUUUUAGUGAAUAUGGUGUUAUAUUUUAUUCAUGCAUCUUGAGUUCAAAACUUUUAAUUUUCUAAAUUAUUAUAAUAGUUUCGAACUCUUGUUCCAUUAUCCAAAUAAUAGUAACAAAAAAAAAGAAAAGAAGAAAAAACAAACUUCUGUUUAUUAUAAAGGGGUAAUUUUGGAAGAAUGGCUGGGUGAGAGUAGAAGCUCUCAUUCCUAAAUAAAUAGUUUCAACACAGUUGGCCGGCAUUGUAGAAUGUUGAUUGCUUAUCAAUUAACGCUGCCGAUGUAGAGUAAAGGUAAAGUAAAUAAAAUAGUUGUUAACAUUUGGUGGCAUGCCAUUGCGGUUAAUUUGAUUUCCAGAACAUCUGUGGUCCUAAAUAAUCAAGUUUUUAUGUAAAAGGAAUGACUUGUCAAAGCCAUUGCUUUGCAUUAGGUCUGGCAAAUGGGUCUUGUUAUUCUAGUAGUUGUUGUUGUAGUCUCUGAGAUAGAGAGAGAGAGGAAUUCAGAUUUUUGUGUGAAAGCGUGGCUGGAAAAUAGUUUGUUGGGUUCUUGGCUUUGAGUUCUUCCAAAUUCCAUGAAACUUGAAAGCAUUAAAAUUUUUGGAAUAAAGAUAAAGACCUUUGAAGUUUGCACUGCACUACACACUCAAAACCUUUGGAGUCUCCCAAGGAGUAUUAAAUUGCUGGAGAAAAAAAAAAAAGGUAUUUGAUUCUUUUAUAAAAAAAAUAUAAAUAAUAAAUAUUUAUAUUUUUUUAUUAAAGAAUGAAAAAGGGACGGGUUCAGAGUGGAUAUCCCUAUAACCAUAACCGAACCCGAAACUGAACAAUUUACCGAAUGGUUACCCAUAACCAUAAAAAAUUCAAAAUUUGAUCUUCGAAACCGAACUGUUCGGGUCGGUUACUUUCGGGAAUCGUGCUUGACGGAUUAAAUUGCCAUCUCUAGUCCGAACGCUUUGCUUGAUGUAUUUGUUGUUAUUUUUCUCAUAGAAAAGAGAAAGAGAAAGAGAAAGAAAAAUUUAUUGUCUAAGAGAAUCACUUUAUCAUGUAGCCGACAGAAAAAGAGGAAUGAUUGUAGCUGAGUUGAAUAAUGGCACACAGAAAAAAAUUUCCACCCAAAAGAAGGCUAAGGUGGGGCUGGUCAAAAAGAAAAAAGUAUCUAUGUAUGAUUUUGAAUCGUGAUGAUACUGUAAUUCUAUCACCCAAAUUUCAUUACUCUAAGCGUGUGUUUACCAAUCGAGAUUGGAAUCGAGAGAAAUAUAAUUGCACAUUUCCCAAUUCAUUCCGACGUUUACUAGCAAUUAGGGAAUCAGAAUUUCUAUGGGGACCACCCAAUAUCAGGAAUUCAAUUCCAGAAUUGCCCGGAAUUGGAUUACCUCUAUAAAGGUAGCAUUUGAGUUCCGGGUAGAACACUCCAGGAAUCAAAUUUUGUACCCAAAAUACCCAUGAAUACUCCUAAAACACCUCUACCUUCAUAAAAACCAAAACUUUUCAUUCAGGCAAACCAAAACACCAUAUUUCUAUCUUCCCCAAAUAGCCAAACAAUCAAAGUUUCCUGCUGUUUCUAGAAAACCAAGCCUUUCUGCAUUCACAGCACCCAAGAAGAAGAAGAAGAAGAAGAAGAAGACGAUGAUGAAGAAGAAGAGAAAUCAAUGAACCUGAAGCAACUCACCGGAAGGGGAAGAAAGCCCACGUAGCUACGGUGACGCGAGAAAAUGCCGAGCCUACGUGUUCUCUCUCUCCUCUCUCUCUUCUGUGUGUGCAGAGCAGAAUAUGGAACAACAAUGAUGUAGAGAACCCGUGGGUUCUAGAAAGUUGUUGGGAGACUUAUUUCAGUGUAAAAAAAUGCACCAAUAUUUUCCAACGGUGCUAGCCAACCAAUAUUUUCUAAGGAAAACUAAUGAAAAGGGCUUGAAAACUUUGAGUUUUAAUGAUAAGGACAAAAUAAAGGGUAAAGUGAAUAGUACCAGGAUUGACUUUUUAGUGUAAAAAUGUGGUUUUUCGUUAAAGUGAACAGUACCGGGUGCUUUUUGUUAAAGUUCCCUAUUUUCUAACGGGAAUUGUUAAUAUUUUAAUAAGGGAUACUUUGGAUCCUUAAUCCUUAACAUUCUUUGAUUAAAACCUUAAUAGUAUUCAAAGUUUGAUCAAGGUCCUUUGACUUUGUACACCUCAUUAUAUUACUAUUAAUAUUUAUAUUUUUGACAUUAAUUGUUUGAUAUUUUAUAAGAUUUAUAAUCCUAUAAAUUUAAAAUCCCCUCAUUAUAAUACUAUUAGAAACGGUUACAAUAAAAAAAAUCAAUCAUUUUGAUUGAAUAAAUGGAUAAAAAAUAUGUAAAAAUAAGAAAUAAUAAAUGGCAAAAGAAUGUAUCCAUAGUGUUAAAAAAAAUUGGUACAUUUCACGUAUAACAAAGUGGUACAUUAAUAAAGAAGAAUGGGUACAUUAUAAAUAAAUUAGGGUACAAAUAAGAGAUUAAAAAAAUAUGAGUACAAAUGAAUUUUUAAAAAAUAUAGGCGCUAAAAGAAAUUAAUACAUGGGUACAAAAUAAAACUAAAAAGAAAAUACUACAAAUUUAAAAAAAAAUGUUGCAAAUUAAAAGUGGGUACAAACUAAAAAUAUAAAUAUAUGAUACAAAGUUUAGGCAUAAAACAUAAAUAUACUAUAUGUAAUUUUUCUUUCAUUGAUUAAAUAUACAAUGUCACGUGACGGUGUACACAUGGGUACAAAUACAAAUAAAACUUUACAAAAUAUGGGCACAAAAAGAAACUAAUAUAUGGGUACAAAUUAAAAAUGAAAAGAAAAUUGGUACAAAUUAAAAAAUAUUUGCAAAUUAAAAAUAGGUACAAACUAAAAAUAAAAAUAUAUGCUAAAAAAUUUAGUCAUAAAUAUAAAUAUACUAAUUGUAACAUUUUUAACACUAAAGGUGACACAUCCCGACCCGAAAUGUUCACUAGGACCCCGAAUCGAGCCGUGUUGGCCAUAAAUUUGAACUUAAGAGUGCCUAAUUACCAAAGUGCACGGUGAGCGGGUCUGGACCCAUUUCACGUAUGAUGCAAAGCAUAAGUAAAGUACAGUAGUAUGGGUAAGAAUUAUACCCUCAGAGAUAACCACCAAUGCUAAGAUUCGCCACAAAUCCUCGUCGAUACGAACUUGGCAGCUAAAACCUGGAGGGGCACAAAAAAGAGAGUGUGAAUGAGCAAUAAAACCAAUCGUCCCAAAACUAUUACCUUUCUAAAAGUAAAUACCCCUGUUUGUAAAACCCGUAUCGUUUUCCAUAAGACAAUACUACAUUUAUAUAUAAAUAUACAACUCAUAUUAAAAAAUGGGUAAAACCACGGGUAUGCCAUGUCCAUCAUUUCCACAAUGCAUUAACAAAUAGGCCAAAUGAACUUUCCAGAAAAAUAGGAUGCAUAUGUAUAUAGAAAUCAUGCUCGAAGCAGUGAAAGCCAGGUAUAUGCCAUGUCAAGUAUCUCAACAGUAAAUGUAUAAGCCAGGUGAUAUAAUUCAAUGCAAAUGAUAUGUCAGCCGGAGUCACCUAACGUGACCUGUACGGCUGAAUUUAGAGCUCAACCAUAAAGCUGGAGUCACCAAACGCGACCUGUAUGACUGCACUCAUGUCUCAUCAGUCAAUGCUAGCAUAUAAGUCGGAGUUACCUCUAGUAACAUGUACGACUUAUCCAUAUCUCAUCAAUCAAUGCUAACACAUAAGUCGGAGUCACCUCUAGUAACCUGUACAACUUAUCCAUAUCUCAUCAAUCAAUGCUAACACAUAAGUCGGAGUUACCUCUAGUGACCUAUACGAUUUAUCCAUAUCUCAUCAAUCAAGAAGUCACCUCUAGUGACCUGUACGACUACACCCAUGUCUAAUCGGUCAAUGCUAGCAUAUAAGUCGGAGUCACCUCUGGUGACUUGUACAACUUAUCCAUAUCUCAUCAAUCAAUGCAAACACAUAAGUCGAAGUCACCUCUAGUGACUUGUACGACAUGACUGGGUGUAAAUAAGUACGCUCAAGCGCUACAAUCACAUGGAAACUGUGCAAAUAAUCGCGAUUCACCUACGAGUUGGAACCACCUAAAGUGGUCUGUACGACAGGCCUGUGCACCUAAUUUGGAUCCAAGGUGAGCGUGUGGUGCGAGAGGUGAAUAUCAUAUGAGUGACUUGUACGACAUGACUGGGUGUAAAUAAGUACGCUCAAGCGCUACAAUCACAUGGAAACUGUGCAAAUAAUCGCGAUUCACCUACGAGUUGGAACCACCUAAAGUGGUCUGCACGACAGGUAUGUGCACCUAAUUUGGAUCCAAGGUGAGCGUAUGAUGCGAGAGGUGAAUAUCAUAUGAGAGACUGUGCCCUAACCACUACAAGAGCACUAACACCGGGAUGCAUGUUUAUGAGCUCUAAAUGCGUCUAAUACAACAUGUACAACUCAUAAGCAACCUGUACGACAAUGCCGGAGUUACCUAUUAUUGCAAUCUAUACGACAGUGUUGGAGUUGCUUAAAACAUAAAUGUAGUCAUACCAUAACCUCAUCAAUUCAACUGAUAUUGUAUCCUUACCCGAAUUUACCUGUGUGUCCUGCGUUCACCUUUGCACUUCAAAGCGUUCACAGUAAUUAUGUGCAAGGAAUAUACAUAUGGAAAUACCAGGAUGUAAGUCUGAAAUUCAACAUAUCAUAAUAUUUCCAGACAUAUAGACAUAUAAACAAAUGGUUUAGAAUGCAUAAACUGUAGCGCCCCACUCUCGAACUAUUUACUUUUGAGAGUAAUCAACGGUGAUAAGCCCAAUUAGACACUAGUUAAGUUAACUAUCAUUAUUUACUUUUCCUUACUUCAAUUUCUUGAUUCUUUACACAUUAAAUUAUGACCCACAUUUAGCUACUAAAACAUAGGGUCAAAUCUUACAAUUUUCCACCAAUGUCCCUCAUAUUACUCAAUUCCCCAAAACUAGGCUAUUGCCUCAAUUAUUUAUUCUCAUUUAUUAUAUGGCUGCAUCUAACGUCUCGUUAAACUGCCUACGUACCAUAAACAGGGAUCAAGCCAUUCGUAGUUCGCACUAAUUAUUUGUAGGGUAAUAUGUAUAAAUCACUUUAGAAACGUUUGUGGAACUAUCAAUUAUAUACAUAUGAUAAAAUGAAAAGAUCCACUCACUUGGAGCCCACGCUAUGAUUCACUAACACAUACAUCGAGGUGUCCUGAAUGAUUGGCUUUUAUAACAAUUAUCGAAUCACAUCUCAGAACUCUUAUCAAUAGAAUACAUAAUUCAUAUAAAGCACAUCCUUAAGGACAUUCUAAAAUAAUUUGAGAUCCAUUGACCAAAAGUCAACCAUCGGUCAAAGAUCAACGGCGGGACCCACAACCCUACAUAACUCAAUCCAAGAGAUCCGCAACUUAGAGUUCUGAUUCGUAACUUCCGAAGAUACACAUUGAGUUUCUAUAAUAACAUACUAAAAUUUCAUUAAGAUCCAACGGUUGGAUCUCCGCCAAUGACCCAAAACCAAGUGGCUGUUAACAUUUAUUUUACGAAUUUACAAAUCCAAUUCGGAAAGAUCUGUACGUUGGAUUUCCGAUCUGUAAGUUCCUAUGAUGCUCAAAUAUUACGUACUAUAACAUAUUAAAGUUUGGUGACGAUCCAACGGUCGGAUCGUCAAUGCACAUAAAUACCUAUUAACGUAUCGUAGAGAAUUUAGGCUCCAACGAUCAACCUACGUAAUCCAAAUAUCAAAACUGACUUCAAGACAUUUAACAUAGCCUUAAAAUAGCAUUGGCGGCCCCCUGGCCACGCGCCGCCACAACUCGGCGGAAAAUUCAACUAUUUUUAAAAAUUCUCAAAAAUUACAAAAUUGAAGAUCUCAAAGAGUAGAGUAAACUUUAUACCUGUGGCCAAGUCCAAUUUGGCCUAGAAAAACUCCAAUUUUGCUAAAACCCGUCGGAAACCCUAGAUUUGGGUGUGAUUCAAUUCGACCCCAUACAAGCUCCGACACCUCCACCACUGGCUGGGCUUUGUUCCUGGGUUCUAGGGAAGUCUAAUGGUGGUGGUAAUUGAAAGAAAACGUUUCACAAUUGGUGGAUUUCUAGCAAAAGUCUCACGACACCCACCUCUGGUUUUUGAACAAUUUACCACCAAAUUCCUUCUAAUUUUGAAUGGAAAUGGAAGAGGGAAGGCCAGGAAGUUGUUUCUAGGUGGUGGUUUGCUUUGAUUUGCUGGAAAAAAUGACCGAAUUUGGCCGUGGUGCUUGUCGGGUCGAACAGGUCAAGGGAAAACCCGGUUUUCCCCCUUCAUUUCUUCUUCCUCCUUUCCCUCCUUUCCCCCUUCUCUGGUUGGCCAUCCUCUUCAUCUCUCUUCCUCAUUGGCUGUUCAUUUCUCUCCUUCCUCUUCCACGAUUGGGCAGUAGCCCUUCUUUCUUUUUCUUUCUCCCGUUCCCCACUUCUUCUUCUACUUUUAAAACUAAAACAUAAAAAUAUACAGAUUACAAAAAUAAAUGUAUAAAAUAAAAUGUAUAGUAACUAAAACAAAAGUAUUUAUCGGGUUUACAGUUCCGUAAAACUUUAACCGUAACUCCAAAUUCACUUCUGUUUGCGUUUACGCGUUCGUAUCGUCGAAUACUUCAGGAAUACGCUAAAAGAAUAUUUAGUACGUCUCACUACGCGUUGGUCAAUGAAAGUUAACACCUUCACCUCAAGGGCAUUUUUUGUAAUUUCACACUUUCAAAAUUAUAAAAACUAUAAUAUUUAAGGACGGGCUGUUACAAAAGGAAUAUAUUUUAAAAAUAAAAAUAUUUUAUUAUUCAAAUAAUUAAUGAUGUUAUUACCCAAGGACCUUGAUCAAAAAUUGAAAAUGAAUAGGAUUUUAAUCAAUGAAAUAACAAAAAAAAGGAUGUGAACCUAAUUUCUCCUUUUAAUAAAAUGUGUGUGUGUGUGUGUGAAAUUGUAUUCAAAAGUUAUGAAAUUUUCUAUUAUUUAGAUUAAGGGUACUUUAGUAAUUAUAUUAAUUUUCAUUCCGAUUCAGGUGAAUUGGUAAACAACUUAUAUGAAUUUCGUUUCAUUUUUACUCCGAUUCCAGAACAUUUAAGUAAACAGCUUCAACAUAAAUCUGAUUCUAACUCUUCCUCAAUUCAAUUCCUCAUCAAUCUAAUUCCUCUAUUUUAAUUAUGAUUACGUAAACGCGCCCUAAUAUUUUAACGUGUCAGGUCUUGUUUGGUGUGAUAUACAUUUGCAAUGGACUCGUGGCAUGUAAGUUCUUUUGUUGUUGGUGUCGUGAGUUGAAAGAAAGCGUGUCGGCAACACUAAGGUAAAUCUCCGUUAGAUAAAUUGAAGUUCCAAAUUCCAAGGAAGAUUGCUCUCAACUUUAUCACAUUCACAUUGAAGGUGGUAGGAAGCCACUGCUUCCUACCAUAGGAAGAAAAAACAUGCAAAAGGCCUGAUAUAUAACAAAAGCGAAUUCUUGGUGCGAGUACCAGUCCAGCAUCCAUACUCAAUUCUUUGAAAGGCUCUUCAAUUUAGACAAGGAUUGUCUGCCCUCCUUGUUCCGGUGCCCUCUCAUGUGUUUGUGUGGUCACGAUUAAGCCACGUCAACAUUUUAUAUUACUAUUCAUUUUUGUCUUAUUAUCUCUAUAAAAAAUAAUAUAAAAUGUUGACGUGGCUUAACCGUGACCACACAAAACAGGAGAGCACCGGAACAAGGAGGGCAGACAAUCCUUGUCCCUUCAAUUUACCUGGAUUUCUCCAAUGAAAAUCAACUUGUCUCUUCUUCUUCCUUUUGCAAUCCUCCUCCUUGGAAGUACUAUGUCUUUUUGAGCUUCAGAGGAGAGGAUACACGAACCAAUUUUACAGAUCACUUUUACAAGGUGUUGGACAAUAAGGGAAUCAACACGUUCAUUGAUCACCAUCUUAGAAGAGGAGAAGAAAUAUCUCUGGCUCUUCUCAAAGCAAUUGAGGAGUUAGAGAAUUUCGAUCAUUAUAUAUUUAUAUUCUCUAAAAACUAUGCAUCCUCAAUAAUAUUGUACCGAAAUUAUGAGGAGUGAAACUUUGGAACAAAUUAAUUAGAAAACGCUUCGAGGACCCACUCAAAAAGCGACGAGUGCGAAUUAACAUAAGAAAGUAAUUAUUGGUCCCACAAAGAAAAACAGUGAAAAAAAAUAGAAUAAGAGGAUGUUGAAAAAUAAAAAAUUAUAACUCUAACAAGUAAUUAUUUACCACAGUAGUAAAAAAGAGUUGAAUCUUUAUAUAACGGUAUACAUUUGAAUUUUGUCAGUAACUAAUGUAAGUUUAAUCUAACAAAUUAAUUGUUUGACAAAAAAAAUAAACUAAACUCUCUCUCUCCUUCACCCUUUCCUCUUCCGUUUUCGUUUACUACAGUGCAUCUUUCUUUUUUCUGUUGGUUUUCCUCCUCCACCACCACCAAAUCCACCAUGAACAACUUCAAUCAUCUACAUGAAGAUGUGCGUGAAUAAUUAAAUAUUGAAAUUUGCGUGUGUGGAUUAAUCUCUUCACAUGUGUGCAAUAUGAUUUGGGCGAUGAUAAUAAGUCCACCAAGUGUUCCAAAAAAUGCCGUAGUGAAUAAACUAAAUUUUCUUAUUGAGCGGUUCCCGUUCAAUUUCUAUAUAGGAAACUUGGACCUUCAACGUUAGGACCUCCAUGUUUAUUCUACAAAGUAUUGCUUGUUAGUGCUUUGGAUUGCAAAUUAUAACUCCAGGCAAUAAAGUUUCAAGACGGUUCGGCUGUACCGGAAAGAUCGAACGACAUUUGAAAUUCCUCUAGAUAACAAGGAUGAAAGAGAGGUAAAACAUGUGUUGCUUAUUUAUUCAGCUUAGCUGGCAAUUAAUUAAUUAAAUCCAUCGAAAAAAAAUACAAAACAAAAAUUAGACAUUUGAAAGUGGGCAAAUGGGUCGGAAUGAUUAUUUCAUGUAGGAUAAUAUAAAUGAUUAUGAUCAUCAUAAUACACAUGUAAAUUCAAUCAAUUAGAUAAUACCUAAAUGUAUCAAACACAUAUAUCAAUAAAUAAAGCAGUAAAAAGGAAAAGGUAAAGAAUUAUCUUGCCUGUGAUAUCAAGAGAGGCGUGUUGUCACUGUCCUAAAGUCGGAGACGCCUCCCUACAUGUUGGUUAGAACGGCUAUCUACAACUCCAACAUACAACCGUUGAAUCUCACAGAGUGUUUAAUCCGUAAGCACGAUUACGGUAAACCGGGUGCCAAGUAGUGAUCAAUUGCCCAUUGAUGAUCAAGAUGAGUAGAAAGAUAAUAAGAAUUAUAUAUGAGUACUACUACGGAGGGAAGGAAAACAAUAUGAACAUAUUAUUGACCACUUUGUUCUGUUUGAGGAGUUCGCUAUUUAUAAAACUCUACAUAUCCCUUAAUAAAAGAUAUAACUUCUCUAAUGAAUAUGACUCUUCAUAUUUUUUAUUUAAAAUAAUAAUAAAUAAAGUUUUAAAUCUUUAAUAAAAUAAAGUAAAUAACAAACAUUUCAUUCCUAAAGGCCACAGGUGAUUACAACAUCAACAAAUAAUUGAAUACAGACAAACUAUAGUGAUCAAUCGAUCAAGGGAAAAAGAAACUCCAUGAUGGAAAAAGACACGUUCUUCCUUAAAUUAACGACCCCCACUUGUCAGUGGAGAGAAAUUUACCUACAUCAUCAGAGAUACUUUUCUUGGUAUGGCCACUUUAUUUGUAAUAUUUUUAGAUUUUUCAGCUGUCUGUUAUUAUUUUAAAAUAUUAUAAUGGUGAAUUGUUACAUUAAAGGUAAUCAGUAGUAGUUUGCAACAAAACUUCCUCUUCUUCAAAUUAAAGACCGCUAAGUAACAAUUUUAUAUUUUUCAUUCGUCAAUUAAUUGCCACAAAAGUUCAUCUCCUUCAACUCGACCACAUUUACAUUGAAAGGUAGUAGGUGGGAAAUGCUUGGUCGGUAGGAAGAAAAUCUCCUUCAACUCGACCACAUUUACAUUGAAAGGUAGUAGGUGGGAAAUGCUUGGUCGGUAGGAAGAAAAGCAUGAGGACUAAUAUAACAAGAGAGAGUCCACAUUCACAUUGAAGGUGGUAGGAAACUGCUGCUUCCUUCACAGGAAGAAAAGCAUGCAUAAGGCCUGAUAUAUAUAACAAGAGAGAGUCCAUUGUCCACACUCCAUACCAUACUGCAUAUUCCAAUUCUUUGAGAGGCUCUUUUCUUUAGUUCAUUUGUCUUUAAUUCUCUUAUGGGCAUUCAACUUGCCUCUUCUUCUUCCUUGCCUCCUUCAUGGACAUAUGAUGUAUUUUUGAGUUUUAGAGGUGAAGAUACACGCUUUACUUUUACAGAUCACUUAUACGCGGCCUUGUACCGUAACGGAAUCGACACAUUCAUUGAUCGCCAUCUUAAAAGAGGAGAAGAGAUAUCACCGGCUUUUCUAAAAGCAAUUGAAGAGUCGAGAAUUUCAAUCAUUGUAAUCUCUGAAAAGUAUGCAUCGUCAAGAUGGUGCUUGGAUGAACUCGUAUAUAUCCUUGAAUGUAGAAGGUCAAGGCAGCAAAUAGUUUGGCCAGUUUUCUACAAGGUGGAUCCAUCCCAUGUACGAAAUCAAACGAGUAGUUUCGGUGAUGCAUUUACAGGACUUGAGUGCAAAUACAAGGACGAGGAGAAGAUCCUCUUAUGGAGGAGAGCUCUCAGAGAAGCAGCAAAUUUGUCAGGUUAUACUGUCAAAGAGGAAGAGUACGUACCUUUCUUCUCUUUUAAUUAUAUGAUUCUGUAUUUUAGGUUUCACUUUCUACUACAAUAAUACCUAAUAUUAGGAGCGAGUUCGGUUUCAAUCGUUUUUUUUUUUCCUUCUCAAAACUGGAAAUCAAACCGAUAUUACUGUUCAGUUCGGUUAGGUUCUCUCGAUUCGAAUUGAAUUCGGAUUGGUUUUUUCCGGUUAGACGGGUUCAGUUCGAUUUUUUUUUUUAAAUUUAAAAAAUCUGAAAACUGAAGGAAAAACACAAUCCAAAUUCUGAAAAUUGACGGAAAAACACAAAUCCAAAUACCCAUACAUACAGAUUCGCUAAACCCAAUUCACUGUAAAACACAAACCAAAUUGGAAGGAUUUGACGGUCUAAAGCAAAAACCUUUGUGGAAGAGCCGAUCGGUGAGGGUCUGGAACAAGGUCUCGUCAAUGGCGAAAUCAGGAAUUGGCAGGAGGAGGUGCGAAAUCAGGUAGUGUCUACGAAACAGCGUCGUUUCAAUUAUCUAUUUAAAUUUUUUUUUCCAAAACCAAAAUGAUGUCGUUUUGGCCUGAAUGAUUUAAAAAAAAAAAAAAAAGCACAGUCACCCACACAUCAUCGGACCAUAGGAAGCUCUGAACCACUGAACCAGUGGGUUUUCCGGCGAGGGGAGGGCGGACACAGAAAUCCAGUCCUGUUUUCCGGCGAGGGCCGCCACUCCUCGCCCUCACGUGGCUUCGCUUGGGUCUCGUAGACAUUCUUCUCACGGAUGUGGCGGUGGAGUUGGACGAAGUUGGGGUCGCAUCCGAGGUCUGUAGAUGGCGGGGCUCCGGAAGACUAUUGGCGCUGCCUCGCCGAUGUCUGAUGGGUGCGGUUGGCGGCGAGGAAGGAAGAUGCACCCUAAACCGUCGAUGUUUUGAGGCAAUUUCUUCGUUUGCAUAUUAGUCCAAUCCAUAGGCUUUGUUUGCACUUUACUGAAUUACAUUAAUUCAACCUUUUGGGUUUAUUUAUUUAUUUUUAUUUAACAAAAUAAAAGAGGGUCGGUAGGGAAAUUGGGGUUAAGUUUGGCUUUGGACCUAAGAUUGUUAUGGUUGACUUGAAAUUGGGGCUUCAAAUAAUAUUAUAUAAAUAAAAUUAAUAAGUAUUUAAUUCGGUUCAGUUUUGUUUUGUUUUUAAUUUGGUUAGAUUUUUUUUUUUUGGUAUGGUUUAGUGCUUGGUUCGGUUUUUAUUUUUUUAUCUUUUUUUUUCGGCUUUUUGAACUCACUCCUAAUACCUGUUUAGUUGCAAGCGGAGGGAGUGAAUACCCAUUUUUAUCUUUUGAUGAACAGAAAUAUGAAAAAUUGUUGAAUAAUUAUACACGAAGAAGUUGACCCUUCUGUAUGUUAAACAUACAUGAUCAUCAUCUUCAUAUAUAACUAGCAAUUGGCACAUACGCAAAGCAUGUGCAACGACGUUCAUAUGUCACUUACACUAUAGAACCAAAUUUGAAUCUCUUAACUUUUUUUUUUCUUGAGAAAAGCCACGAAGAUGAAUCUACACAUGACUAAAAUAUGAGAGUUUCCCAACUCUCAUCCACAAAUUGUCUUCUACUGAUUUUAAGAACAGUGAAUGAGUAACAAUUAAUUAAAAUAAAAAUGUCAUAAAAUAACUAAUUGCAAUAGAAAUUAUUUCAUAAAUAGAGAAAGAGUAAAGUUUUGGGUUGAGGAUUGAGUUGAGGGGGAUGUGCGGAAGUUACCGUGAAGAGAAGAAUUGCUUUGGAGGUGGAAGUGGGGAAGUUAUAAUUAGUUUUGGACUUUUAUUUCUUUUUUUAAUUGUUUAACAAUUAUCCACAAUUGUUAUUUUGAUUGUUUGACAUGAAUAUCCACAAUUCCUAAACCUUGUUUAUAAACUCAAGUUAUGAAAGUAAGGGUAAAGUUGUUUAUAUUAUCCACAAUAAUAUAGAUUCUCUUAAUAAUAGUAUAGAUUAUAGGCUCUGUCGUUCACCAAAGCUAGCGAACGAGGAAGUGAGUGUUCUAGCUGUUGUUGCUAGCACUUCUCUUUCGUGUAAUCCUCUCUUCUUUUUUACAUUCUUUUUUCCUUUUCAAAGAUAUAUAGCAAAAAAAUUGAUUGACUAAAUGUGUCAAAUUUUUUAAUUAAACUGGUAGGUAUGAAGCUACAUUUAUCGAUAAGAUUGUUACAGAGAUCUUAGUCAAAGUACUACAACGUACACAUUUGAAUGUGGCCAAAUACCUAGUUGGAAUACAAUCUUGCGUUCAAGAGAUGAAAGAGCUUUUAGGUGAUAAGUUUCGAAUUUGGGGAUCCAAUAUUCUUCAAAAUCAUACAGUUACAAGGCAUCUUGUCACAUAUAAUAUGUCAUACAGUGACAUCAGACAAUUGAAGGGAUUUAAGGUACGUAUACUUUUUUAAAUUAAUUUGGAUGAUUCCUAAUUUAAAUGUAUAUUUUAUUUUAAAAAAGAAAAGAAAAUUUCCAAAGUUUUUUCAUCAUUAAUUAUUCUAUUUAAUGUCUGUGACUUUUGUUUUUUUUGUUUUUUUGUUUUUUUUUGGUUUCACAGAAUUUGGAAAAUCUUAAAUAUAUGAAUUUACGCGGGUGCAAAUUUCUGGAAAAAAUUCCCGACUUAUCCGGAAGUCCAAAUAUAGAGUAUUUGGAUCUUCAUGGCUGCACAAAUUUGGUUGAGAUUGAUGAUUCUAUUGGAUUCCUCGAUAAACUUGUUACAUUAAAUCUUAUGGGGUGCUCUAGGCUUACGAGGUUUGCACCAAGACUUAGAUUGAGAUCCCUUAAAAGGCUUUAUCUUCAUGGUUGCACAAGGCUGGAGAGUUUUCCAGAAAUAGAGGAUGAGAUGGAAUCUUUAAAGCAUUUGGAUAUACAAAAAAGUGGCAUAAGAGAAUUGCCUUCAUCAAUUGCAUAUCUUACUGGGCUUGCCGAAUUGUUAGCAAUGGAAUGUGAGAAUCUUAUAGGUACAUCAUUACAUCAUCUUUAUGGGUUGCAACAUCUCUCUGGGGUUUAUUUCAAUGAAUGCCCAAAACUGGUGACAUUUGGGAAGAACAAGAUGAAGUUUGAUGAAGUUUCAUCCAGCAGUACCGAAUCUCAACUGCUUUCAACUGACUUAGAGACUUCACAAGACAAGUGUAGCACAUAUGCUUUUCCCAACCUAUAUUAUCUUUAUCUUGAAGGAUGCAAUUUAUCAGAAAGUGAUUUUCUUGUGCUUCUUGAUUGCUGGUCCACAUUAACAUGGCUUGAUCUGUCGAGAAAUAAUUUUGUUAGUCUUCCGGAUUGCAUUAGCAAAUUUGUCAACUUGGAAAGACUUAAUUUGAGAGGUUGCAAGAGGCUUCGGAAAACUCCACAAGCCCUUCCACCAAAACUAUACGAGUUAUAUCUGGAUGAUUGCACAUCAUUGGAGAAAAUUUCAAAACUGCCCCCGGAGCUUCAUGUUCUGCACCUGUCAAAUUGCUUUAGACUAUGUGGCCAUGGGGUGGCAAAGUUGGAAAAUAGUUUGUUGAAUGAGGUUUGUCUCUCUUCUUAAUUACUCUUGAAAUUAAAAUAUAUAAUUUGUUGUUACUUGGGAGGGAGAUCAAAUCACAAUUGUUUGUAAUUAGUUAUCUACAUAUUAUUCACUAUUGCAGGGAUCUCUUCGGCGCUCUAAAUUGGAAGUUAUUUAUCCAGGCAAUGAAGUUCCAAAGUGGUUCAACUAUAACUCUAACCAUCCCACAACCAUUCAACGUAUACCGGCUGAAUAUGACUGGAGGAGAAAAGACUUUAUUGGAGGCAUUAGUUUUCCAGCUCCUAUAAAAUAUGAAGGGAGGGGAGAAAACUUUGUUGGAACUAGUAGUUUUAAAAUUCCUCUAAAUUUACAAGUGGGGGAUACGUUAUUAGGAUUGGUUCUAUCUACUGUUUUUGAACCAUCGAAUUUUAAUUAUUAUGUUAUCAUCAACGGAACAGAAGGCUCUAGACUAUGUACUUACAGGAGACACUAUGUAUGGCCUUGUACGAACUUGGAGGCAGCUCAUGUGGAGCUCAAGUUAGUAGAUUUAGAAAAGAAGCAGGGAGGUAUUUGUAAUGUUGAAUUUGUUUUCCGCAGGGGCGCACGCAUUAAAAGUUGCGGGGUGCACCCACUAUUGCGCAAAGAAGACGAAUGGCUUCCUUGUCUUUGGGACCAACAAGUAGUCUUGGGAAGAGGCCUUGUCCACUUGGAUCCUCAGAUACCGUCCACGAGGAAUAUGAUCGGCAACGACAAUGGCUUUCCUUAUCUUCGAACCCGGCGGAUUGAUCUUAAUGUUCCUUUUGAUAUUGAGGAGGAGGAACAAGAGCAACCAUCCACUUCAGAUGAUUCACAAUUUUUUCUUCAUUAGGAGUUUGGGUACGUAUAUUUCAGUUUUAGUAUAACUAAAUAAUUUUUUUUUUUUUUUGUAUUGUAAAUUUGUGAAACCUUUUUAGAUUAAUAUAAUAAAAUUAAUUAAUUUAAAUUAAAUACAUAAAAAAAUUUGGAUAAAUUACAUUUUACCUCCUCAACUUUGGGUUGCAUAACAAUCUCAUAUAUCAUCUUUUAAAUAUUGCUAUAUUAUACAUCAAUUCACAAAUUCGUUGCAAUAUCAUACAUCCGUCAACAUUUUUGUUAAUUUUUAUGUUAAAUACUGAUGUGGCAAACACAGGUCCGCUCCCUUACCUAACUAGGUUAUAAAAUUAAUUUAAUAUUGACAAUUAAAGAAUUUCUAGUUCUAAGUUAAAUUAAAAUUAACAAAUAAAUUGUUCUAAGUUAAAUUAAAAUUAACAAAUAAAUUGAUGGAUAUUUUAACGGAGGUUUAAGAUUUCAACAAAUUUGUAAGUUUACUUAAGACAUUGCAAUGUUUAAAAGAUAAAGUAUAACUUUGUUAUAAGACUCAAAGUUAAGGUGGUAACAUGUAAUUUACCCAAGAAUUUAAACAGUUUUCAAUCUGGAGAAACAACGAUUUCAUAUCUGUAGGUAGCUACUGGCUAAUUAUUAGAAAAACAGAAACCACAUUUGUAUCCUAAAGUACAUUUGACUGUGAGUAGAAACCAUAUUUGUAUCCUAAAGUACAAAUGUAGAAAACAUGGCCAUAAUUUCACAGGUAUCUGUCCCUAUAUAUUAAUUCCUUGCAGAUUCUGCGAUGGAAUUUGGGUCAAAAUUGCAGCCUACUGUGUCUUGAUACAUUUUUGGUUUUGGAUAAAUACUCUGUUUCCUGCCUUUUGCCAUUUUUGGGUCCUUUGUUUUCUCUGUUGCUGCUGGGACAGAGUCCAUUAGAUUUGCCCGUUUAUUUUCUUUGCUUUAGGUGUGAGAUGCAAUACAAUCUUGAUGAAAGGAAAUGUACAAGCUAGCGAGGCUAUCAGUAGUAGUAUGGACACUGGUGGAGGUUGGCAGCUGGCAUAUAUAUAUUCUGACCGAGCAGGCGAAGACGGGAAGAAGGAAGGAGGAGUUCAAAGAGUGUAUUUGCAUCAGGAUAGUGCACUUUGGUGUCAGCCUGCGUCGGUUGUUUCAAUUUCUGGUGUAAGACAAGAAAGGAAGCUCAUUCAUGCUGGUCUGGUUAGUCAGCCUGAUGUUUCAGAAACUUUCUUGUUUGUCAACCUUCUAUGUUGUCGGGUGCAUCGAUUCUUGGAUAUUUGUUUACUUGAAGGUGCCUGAAACUAAGGGCAUGCCUCUUGAAGUCAUCUCUGAGUUCUUUGCUGCAGGUGUAAACCCAGCUGCUGCUGAUGCAUCUGCGGAUUUCAAUGAAAAGUGAUUUGAUUGUUUAGAGGGUUUGAAAUUUGGUUUUAUUUUAGACUGGGAUUGUGAGGACAGGACUUGAGUUGGAGAAGUGCUUAUGACUAGAUUGCUUUUUUUGAAAGUGAUUUUCUAUCAUCACUGUCCCUCCCUUAAUGCUGCACAAGUAUAUUUGAUACCAUGCUUCCUAAUCAUAGACUCAUAAGGUAACAUGUUUUGUUCUACUAUUUGCACUUAUAAAUUUGAGAAAUCCCUUAGCUAAUCCCAAAUACUGAUUGAAGUUUAAAACAGUCUACUUAACCACCCUUGUAGUUCCAAAUGAUUUUUGUCAAUGUAUUUGGUGGCUACACUUAUAUUUUCCUAUCUAUUUAAUUUUAAGCAGAUAUAUAUUGUUGCACACACUCUUUCUUAUUAUUGUGAUCAUAUACCAAAUAACUCAAUAUAGAUCACCAAAUUCUGACUGAAGUAUGGUUUAAUUUUUUGUUAGAUAUGAAACUGAUCAAAAUCAAAUUGCACAUGCGUGACAUUUUAUUUAAAAAAUCUUGUGUCUAACAUUAAUUUGAUUUACAUACUGUCCUAUAAGAUCUUAUUUAACUCGUGACAAAUAAUAGUAUAUGACUCGCUAAUUUUUUUACAAAAGAGAAAUUCACUAAUUUUACAACGACCAAUAUAUAUGUACUUGAGUUUGAAUUUUCAUUCUUGCAACGUAGAUUAUUUUUAGAGUAAAUUGUACGAAUGGUCCCUCAACUUUAAUCAAAUUGGAGCAAUGGUCCCUCAACUAAAAAUCUAUUACCAUUGGUCCCUCAACUUAUCAAAAUUUAUAGCUAUAGUCAUUUUCAUCAAUUUUGUCAAAAUUUUGUCAAAAUAAGCUAUGUUGGAAUGACCAUUUAUAUAAUUAGGGUCCCUCAACUCAUCAAAGUGUAUAAUUAUGGUUUUUUUCGUCAACUAUGUCAAAAUUUUUGUCAAAACGAGUUAUAUUGGAAGGACCAUUGCUACAAUUGAGUUAAAGUUGAAGGACCAUUUCUCCACUUGAAUUAAAGUUCAGGGACCAAUGGUAAUGGAUUUUUAGUUGAGGGACCAUAGUUGCACAUUUUGAUAAGUUGAGGGACCAAAGGUAAUGAAUUUUUAGUUGAGGGACCAUUGCUCCAAUUGAGUUAAAGUUAAGGGACCAUAGCUACAAUUUACUCUUUUUUUUAUAAGUUAAAAAAGGAACUGUUUUUAACUGCAGCCUAAGCCGAGCCCAGUUGGCGUGUAGCACCAGCAAUAGGAAAGUCUGCUGAGAAAAGUCAGUCAUCGUCUUCACUAAAUUGAGUUAGAGGAAUUAGGGUUUUAGAUUUGAAAAGAUCCAAACUUUAUCAUUCUCUCCGAAAGUAAUCAGAGAAAUGGAAAGUCAAUCAAAGGACGGAGACUCGCUGGAGAAGCGGCCCGGCAUCUUCUUCCUCGACUCCCCCGGCGUCGGCAACCGCUCUCUCAUUACGCGUAAGCUCUCUCUCCUUUGACCGAUACUAAGCAUGAUCUGUUGAUUUGUUGGAUUACUGGGUUUGGAUUUUGGCGAUGCUUCUCAUUCUUCAUCGUCAUCUCAGCCGGUAGUCAAUGGGUAUGUAAAUUUUGAAUUUUGGGAUCAAAGAAUUCAAUUUUAGGAAUUUUGGGUACAAAGAAUACAACUUUUAGGAAUUUUGGGAACAAAGAAUUCGUUUUGAAUUCUUUUGAAACGUGAAUUUUGAUGAUUUUUGUGUUAAAAAAAUAGGUGGAAUAUCUCUACAAUGUACUACACAGCUGACGUUUCGGUAUGGAUGGCUCAUCUCCAUGACGAAUUUUCGAUUGAGUCCCUCCCAAUAUUUGACCAGUUGGCUGCCUUGAUCUUGGUUUUCGACACAACUGAGGUUUCGGUCUCUUGCCACUCACUCUUUGUCACUUUGUUUACUUAUUUAGCAUGAUUUUCGAAGUGUCUUGUAUCAAUUUGCCCGCAUUAUGCUGCAGUUGUCGUCUCUGUCUGCGCUUCAGAAAUGGGUAUCUCGAACUGAUCUUCAAAAGUUCGAUAUACUAGUGUGCAUAGGGAAUAAGGUUGAUCUUGUUCCGGGUCACCCGGUUCAUACCGAAUAUAGAAGACGACUGCAGAAGCUUGGAGACCCGUUUGCUGAUGACGGUCCAGGGUUCACUGUGUAUGGAAUCACCGAGGCUGAAGGAAGCAGUUUAUUGGGGGAUGACGAGUCAUCAUAGGAGGCCAGAGGCACAUGUUUGGAAUGGUGCACUGAGCAUAACAUUGAGUUCGUCGAAGCUUAUGCUGAUUUUAACAAAUGUAAGGCAGCCCUUCUUUCUGACUCGUAUUUUAUGGCAAGUUUUAUACGAAAGUGAAAGUUUGAAGCCGGAUGAGAUGUCAAGUUGUUACUAGGCAGCAGUUUAGGAGUGGUUAGGGGAAUGUGGUUUAGCCAAUUACAUAAAAACGUGGUCGUCACAACUAAAAAUUUCUCGGGAAUGUGGGAGAAUAAUAGGGUUUGGCCAAUUAGGCGUUUGACUAAUAUAUGUACCAAGAGUGGCUUGAGCGGCAGAUCAACUUAAUCAAUUGGCAUAACCACAUAAGCAGCACACAGGAUAAACUCAAUUGAACGAGUUGGUGCUCAGGCUCUUUUGUUCAUGAAGAAAUUUUUCAUUAUUGUGCCUGGAACAGAGGUGGGAUACCACAUAUUAUUAGAUAAGUGGAGAGAAGUUUUAUUUGUCUAAGUUUUUUUUUAAUUUUUGUUAACACAAAUAUCUCACUUGUUUAGUGACACGUGGUGUAUCACCAUGUGCUCUAGGUAUACUGAAAAAUCUCUCCACUCUAUCUCUGUCACCUCAUAGUUUAACUUUAAUUUUUAUGCUAACAUUACAAAACAUUAUUUUAAAAGUAUGAAGUGGCAGAGAUUCUAUGGAGACUAGGAAUAUAAGUUGCUUUUUAAGAUUUUUUAUUUGACCAAUGUGAUAUUUUGGUUAGGUAAGUAAUCGAAAGUGAACGUUCUUAGUUAUCUGAAAACAUUUUUCUGAUAGUUUUAGAAGCAGCCCAAGUGACCGAUUCGAUAUUUAGGUUAGGAGGUUAAUGAUUAUGUACAAGCGUCAUUUUCAAAAUCUAAAGCACUUAUAAACUAUCAUGAAGUAAACGUUCUUGAUAAUCUAAAGCACUUACAAAUUAUUAAGAAAAGGAUAUUCUUAGUUAUCUGAAAACAUUUUUUCUCAAUAAUUUUUAGAUGCAAUUUCGCAGUGUUGAGAUGUUAGCUUCGAAGGCACUCCAACUUGCAAAGAGUGCUCAACAAAGUUCAACAAAAGUAGAAACAAAAUCAAUUAAAAAUCCCAACUCACAAGUGAGAGCAAUGGUUAUGCUUCAAGGUCCAACCAUCAGACCUCUUUAAGGCCAUCUCCAACUGAUGGCUGGCCAAAGGGUUCGUUUUAGCCCUCUGCCCCUCCAAGAUUCUUUAAGAUAUUAAUAUUUUAAUGAAUAGUACAGGGUCAUAUUUGCCUCCGUUUCCAACUGAGGGCAAGAGAGCCAGAGGGCUCGUUUUAGCCAUGUCACAAAAAACCGUCUCCAACCGAGGGCUAAAGGGUCAUAGGGCCAAACAUAAUUUAUUAUUUAAAAACUACAACUUAAAUUCAACCCAUUUAAAAACCGUCUCCAUUUAAGUUUCAUGUUGUAUAAUUUUUAUGUUGGUUAAUGUUAUUUAAUGUUGUUUCAUAUUGUUUAAUGUGACUUAAUUUAAUUUAAUGUUGUAUAAUGGCUUAGGAAGUUAUAGGAAAAAAAUGGAAUUUUAAAAAAUAUGAAACAAAUUUUGUGAAAUAGAAGUUAUAGGAAAAAAUAGAAGUCAUAUGAAAAAUUUUGUAUAUAAAAAAUAAUAAUAAAACUGUAAAAAAAAAAAAUUCAAAUGCAACGGCUAGCUGUUGCAUUUGAAUUUUUUCUUAAGAAAUCCUGUCGGUUAUAAUCGACAGGAAUACAUGCUAUUAUUUAGUAUAAAUGUAUUACUGUCGGUUAUAACCGAUAGGAAUAACAAAACAUAAAAAAUAAAAAUAAAAAAGCCAGCCCCGGGAUGGCUGGCUGGCUGCAGCCCUCCAGCCUUCUAGCCCUCUCUGAUUCUGUGGGGCCCUCCCAGAUUCCAAAGCCCUCUGGCCUAGCCCUCGGUUGGAGACGGUUUUCGGGCUAUUUUCGACCCUCUGGCCUUCUAAACCCUUCGGUUGGAGAUGGCCUAAGUUAGGCUUCAAUUUUAUUUCAUUUCCCACUACAAAAUUUCCAAGCAUCUAUACGGCUAUACCCCAUUGACCCUUCGCCCGCUUUAUGCAAUCUAGAAAAAUCAUUUACAAACGAGAAAUUCUAAAGGAAUUCUUUCAAAACGGAACUUUUCAUGAACUCUCCGUCACAAAAAAGAAUUCAAUUUUGUGUCUCCUUCACAUGCAAGAAUUCAAUUUAUACCUAGCUGAUGUACAUCAUUGGAUAAAAUUCCAAAACUACGAGUGCUUUGGAUUCUGAACCUGACUAAUUACUGUAGACUAAGCGGUGAUGAGAUGGCAAAGUUGGAAAUAACUCGUUGAAUAAGGUUCAUUUCUGAUGAAAUGAAAAUUAAUUUUGUUGAUAACUGUAAUUAUUUAAUAUAUAUAUAUAUAUUACUGCAAGAACUUCUUCUGCGUUCUGAAUUGAAAAUUGUUCUUCCAAAACAAUGAAAUUCCGAAGUGGUUCUAAUAUACCUCCUAACAUCCAACAACGUUUUGGCUAAUUCCCAUCCGAGGGUAGUGUGAAGGGAUGCGAUAGGGAAUUGGGACCCUGACAUAGACUGAUAAUUGUAACGUGGGGAAUGGGGACAAUCUCCAACUCUUGAGAUAAAAGCCAAAUUUUUUAGCCCGAAAAAUUAUCAUUCUGGCUUAAAAUUUUAACUCGGGAUUAUUAAAAAAUGAACUUAGGCUAAUUUUGUUCUUAAAUUAAAUUUAAAAAAAAUAAAUAUGUAGACUAUCAUAAAUUAAUUUUAUGAACAUUUUAAUCUAAAAAUAUUUAAAUUCCGAUAAAUAUUGAAAAAUCACUAAAUCCAUAUGAAACUCAUGAAACACUAUGAAAGAAUAUGAAAAUCAUGAUAGAGAUGUAUAAACAUAAAAUUUGGAAAUGGGAAAAAAUGGUAGAAAUAAAAAUUGAAAGAAUUGUAGGAGAAAAUUGAGUUUUGUGUGGAUGUUUGAACAAAUACAUAGGUAUUUAUAGAGUUUUUGGAUGAAUUUUGAGUUAAAUAAUUUUUUUAAUUAUUUUAGUAGUUGGAUUUAAAUUUGGACCGUUAGAUCUUUUUUUUUUUACCAUUAGAUUUGAUUAUAUUUAAUCUUAGUCAUUCAAUUCAAUAAAUAUAUAAAUAUAAAAACAAAAAAAAAUAUAAAUUUGAAUCUAGGUCGUUGGAUCAACCAACGACCUAUUGAUCACGAUCGUCGGAUCAAAGUAGUAGUUGGGGCGCUUGGGAAAGGUGGCCUACAAGCCCACGUGGGUGGGGCCUUGUCUGUCUGAAGGGUCACACGUUCAGGCUAGUGGGUGGGGUGGGGGGGGAUUGGCGCACAGACGUUGGAUUUCACUCGUUUCGAUGAGGCCCACACCGAAUCUUGGGCUGAAUUUUGGGGGGAAUUUGGCUUGGGUUUGGCUUUUAGUUUUUAGCCCAAAGAUUCGGCUUGGGUUGGGUUUUGGGGGGGGGGAAUAGGGGAAAUUUGACAUUUAGCCCAUAGUUGGAGAGGGUCUAAGGGGACUUACACUGCAUACUCAGGCUCUUAAGGGUGCAUUUAUUAAACCAAACUAUUUUGGACUGAAUUAGCUUUAAAAAUUAAGUUGAACUGGCUUAGACUAGACUAAGCUGGACUGAUUUAGUGAAGUGUUUGGUAUUAUAUCGAACUAAAAAAGAGAAUAAUAAAAAAAAUAAUAAUAAAUCUUUUUCUUUUUUAUUCUUUUUCUUUCUAUUUUCUGGAACUCUAUCUAUUUUUCUUUUUCUUUUCUUUUUUUCUUUUUCUAGGGUUCUUUCUCUCUGUUUUUCUUUUUCGUUUUUUUCUUUCAGGCAAAACCUCAAACAGUUGAACUGCAAUACAAGCUACAAGCUGGGAAGAGCUUAAACACAACAAAAUCUUCCAUUACUCGUCACUUGGUACAAAACCCAUAUGCACUAAACACAUUCUUAAUCAUCUACUUGUAUAAUCCAUAAUUUUGCGAUUUGUUGUUUGAGAUUGUGAAAUGAGUACCUGACUUUCUUGAGGAGGACGGCCUUGAGCUUGCGAGCGAGGUCUUGAGAUCGGAGUUUCUGUUCGACAUUCUUGCGGGCCAAGAUGCGCUUCUCAGAGCUCUUGAGGUGGUGGGUUUGCUGCCGCUUUAUCAUCCGCUCGAUCCCACUCGACGUCAUCUUCCUCUGCAUAACCGUCAGCGCCCACUCCAGGUUCCCGUUCAUAACCUUCACCCGAAUCCCUCUCGAUUGCUCAUGUCGAUGACCCAGUGUUGGCGUCGCUGACUCCAUCCCCUGACUCGCCCGUUUCAACACGUUCCAUUGGUGGAUUGCGAAGUAGCGAAGGAGAAGAAGACGACGGAGAUGACCCAGCCGACGAGGUCAUCGUCGAAGAUGAAGCGACGACGAGUUCGUCGUCGGAGAUGAAGCCGCGCCCGAAGCUUGUGCCUUCGAAAUCGAGGUUGAUGAGGUGAUCUGAGCAGGAAGAAGAAGUUCUUAGCCAGUCCCAUGGUUUUGGGUGGGACAAGCUAAGACCGGCUAGUCGGUUCGCUAGUGAAGGCGAGUCUGGAUUAAUCCCAUUAAAACUAGUCCGGUCAGGAAACAAACAACAGACUACAAUCACAUUUAAUCUAGUCUAGUAUAGUGAAACCUAAUGAAGGCAAACAAACACUUCCUAAGUUUAUUUGGCUUUAGUAUAAAUUAUUUUCUCAUUUGUCAAAGAAAAAAUCACCUUAAAUGACUCACCUUUCUUCAGGUGUGCGACAUUAUUUAUAUGGUUCAAAACGACACAAACCGGAUAUAAAUAAUGUGGGGGUGUGGUCAAGAACAAAAUGCAUUAUUAGACUUUGGUGACUCAAAAAUCACCUAUUGUUGGUGAAACCAGAAUUUUCCUAACAUUUACUCACUGACGUUAUCGUUUUGUUAAAAAAAUAAAUAAAUAAAUCUGCACCUCCAUCCUUUUUUCGAUGCACUGCAUAUUCCUCUGCUUUUCUCUUGUAUUUUUUUUGUUACAAUACGUAAUAUUUUUGUUACAAUUUUGAAAGUCAAUUGUCAUGUUGCUGUGCAUUUUAACUUUUGAGUAUAUAAUACUUGAUGUAUUGUCAAUUAAUCAUCCGUAUAUUGUCAAUUAGUAUUUGAAACCUAUGGAUCCUUUAAUUUGGGCCGUACAAAUUAAAUGCAACAGUCUCCAUUAAUUCAUUUUUCUAGCCCAUGACACACGACCAAUGCCCUUGAUUUAACUUGCACACCAAUCAGCGGUCCAGAUUAAAUGAUUCAUAGACUCCGAACACUAAGAUCCAAAAUAAAUUCAAUUCUUAAAAAAUUAACCGCACGAUGAAAAAUAAAUGUAUCGAACUCGCACAAAGAGGAUCGCGAGAUGAUCCUCUUCCUAUCAUGUUGAUAUCCUGGAGCAAAAGGUAAUAGUCAACAAACGAAGUUGAUAGGAUAGGGGUACUGUGAUUGAUACAAGUGCAAAGACGACGAGGGAUGAAAGUAUCCUCUUCCUAUCAUGUUGAUAUCCUGGAGCAAAAGGUAAUAGUCAACAAACGAAGUUGAUAGGAUAGGGGUACUGUGAUUGAUACAAGUGCAAAGACGACGAGGGAUAAAGUGAUACUUUCGUGCUAGUUCCGAGGACAUUUUGGUAAUUAAGCCUUUAUAUUUACUACUUGAUUUGAUUUAUAAUUAGUACUAUUUUUUGGUGUCGUAUCAUUCUCUCUCUCAAACACUAAUUAUAAUUUGCAGAUCGUAGUUGAAAUGGGGUCCCUUUUUUCUUUAUAUGCAAUUGUAUUUCAUUACUUCUCUUGUCUUUUUCCUCAGCACUGAAAAAAAAAAAAAGGAAAAUUGUUUUCAUACAUCAUUUCUUAUUUUAUCACACUCUCUUGUUUUGUUGUAUUUAGAUUGAACAAUUGGAAAAAAAUAUAAUGGUUAAAAUUAACAUGAAUGAGCAAAGGACACACUCUCUCUUAUUUUAUCACACUCUCUUGUCCGAAAGGAAUCGUUUUAGCUUUUUCCGACUAAUAUAAGGGUGUGUUUGUUGCACCGGACUGUCUCGGACUGGACUAGCUUCAAGGACUAAGCUGGACUGGCUUAGACUAGACUAAGCUGGACUAACUUAGUGAAGUGUUUGUUGCAGUGUCGGACUAAGAAGUAGGAUAAUUAAAACAGUACUGUCACCAGAAGAUUGGGACUAAAAACAUAACAAAAUCUGGUGAGCAAUCGGCAGAAGAUUGGGACUAAAAACAUAACAAAAUCUGGUUCAAAGCACCACUACUGUGAUUUUAUGUAACGCUACCAUAACAGUAGCAGCUCUUGAAGCUCCAUUGUCAAAACCCGAAGAGAGCCACAGCCAGAAGCACUCGGUGACCGAGCGAAUUGACAAACCCUUACCUUAGAAAGCAAGCAGCCGCGACCACCGGUCUGCAAGCAUCUCUAGUCCUCGCUGACAUAGCGAAUUCAAAAAUAAGCGAAGAAUAAACAUUGUAUAACUGGAGCAGACAUUCGGUAGGGAUUCAGAUAAACUUUAUACAUAUUAAAGACGUCUUAGUUGCAUUCAAAUUAUUUGCCCAAUAGCAGAACAGUUUUACAUGUUCUCCUUCAUCUAAUAUAUAAGCACAUAACAAAUUUAAACAGUGGGGCAUUGACAAAGAUCGACUCCAUGCUACGGAACUUAAAUCCACUAGGAUAAAUCAUGAACAAAAUUAACACGAUCAUAGGUCAAACAAUACAUCAGUCGUGCAGUGUUCCCAGUAUAUCCUCAUCUCGAUAUAGAUGGUACCUAAAACAGCAAAAAAAUAAUAAUUAAUGAGCAUCUAAUCGGACAAAGGAAGUGAAUGGUAUAGACCAAAGCUUCCAGUCGCCAAAGCUCGAGUGAAAAGUUUCAAGUCGCGAAAGCUUGAUGAAUGGUAUAGACCACCUAUCAUAGAAUGAGAUUACUUUACACUGGUGAGGGAGGGCAACAGUGUAUAUAUUAGAAAAAUAACGUCGCCUUGAAACUUUUCACGGGAUAACACGGUGAUGGCUAAAACAACGUCGCCUUGGGGUUCACGGCAUAACAUUUUGUCUAAAAUUCACUGUUUAAGAAUGUAGUAGAAAAAUAAUCAAACAAGGUGUGAAAUUGCAUACUUUAAAUCAUAAGUACAAAAUCUGCAUGAAAAAUAUUAGAGGAUCCGGAAUCUGGUAGGUAGUAACUCAUCAAAGUUUAGUAAUUCACCUGGCCAAAUGGACUAAAUAGCUGCCUCAGUUCUUUCUCUGUGGCCUCAAAAGCUACAUUUUUCACAAGUAGUUUUGUCGAGCUUUUAUCAUUGUCAACCUUUUUAGGCACUUCAUCUUUCUUGGCAUGACAAAGUUGCAAAAUAAGAGCAUGCCCGUCCAAAAUAGUUCCCUAGAAAAUGGUAAAUAUUAAUUGCAAUGAAUUUCCACAAUUGUAUACUGAAUAUGCAGUAAUUUUCACCAGAUUCUGGCUUCACCUGUAAAUCCCGGCAAACAUUUGUGGCUGUCUCCACAGAAUCGAACUCCAGAAAACCAAAACCCAUUGAAACAUUCUUCCCAUUCUUCAAGUGUUUCUUUACCUGCAUAUAGAGCAAAGAGGAUAUAGACAAGAAAAUAUAUCAAGUAAAAGUAGCGCUUCUAGGCAGCUGAUUAUUACCUUAACACUUAAUAGUUUUCCCCCCUUCACGUGUCCACUAAAAUGCUUUUUCAAACUCUCGUCUGAUGUCGUAAAGCUCAGAUUCUUGACAUAUAGAGAUUGUGACUGGAGAAUGUUACACAACAAAGACAAAAUAAUUAUUAUAUUGGCUAGGCAAGACGUAACAGAACAAGGAAAAUGUAAAAGAAAACAAAAAUAAGCCACAGGUGUAAAAAUUAGUAGACAAGAAAUGGCAGCAUAAAUGUAAAUCUACAAGGAAACCCCCAAACGUUACCAUCUUUAAUCUCUAACAGAAUAAUCAACUAUGUUAGAAGCAACAGAGCAAACCUUGUUUUGCAACACAAAUGACUCUUACGACAUCGUUAUCAUCAAGGCAUAAUGACUAAUAAGUUCACGGUGAAUAUGAAACGGAGAAAACCUGAAAAAUGAAAAAAAAUACGGAUGUGCUUAGAUUGUUCAAUGAAAAAGAGAAGGAGAAUAGCACACCUUAUACACUGGAGCUGAUAUUAUGGACUCUGAUCCCAAUAAAGCAUCCAUAAUUUCUUUCUUUCAUUAAUGACAGUAAUAAGUCCAGAGCACUGUACGAACCUUCCAUAUGUGCAAGCUGUGGCCUACUUCCAUGCUUAGUAGUUUCUGUGGUUUUUACUCUAAUAAUGUAGGUUACAUUUUAAAAGGAGCAUGAGAGAGUCUUUAAGAGAGCAAGUGAAGAGAGAGAGAGAAGUUACAACUAGGGUAGUAAAAUAGUUGUUUCAAAUCUCAAGCUCUCCCUCUAUUCAACAGCUGGCUGCUUCUUGCACUCUCCUUUCACAAUAAUGCAGGGCACAAAGGACGCCAGGAAGCCCGAGCUUCUAAAGAUCCACACAACACAAAAAAUAAACUGAAUUCUAAUCUUGUGCAAACUCAUAAGGAUGCAUUUUGAUAUGAUGACGAGUAUCAAACAAAGGAUAUUGAUCCAGUUGUAAUCGACAAGAUAAAAGAUUACCAAUUUGUAUCCAAAUUAAGAUUUGAUGAUAAGGAAACACGAUUGAAGUUGAAGAAUGAUAUUGAUCUGUUGGAAUUAAUGCACUAAUGUUAAGACUCUAGACAUUCCCAAGAACAAUUCAUGCACUAUCCUAAAUGUUAAGACUCUAGACAUUUCCAAGAACAAUUAUUCUAGAUUCAUUGUUCCUAGCCUAUGUCUGUUAAGUUACCUAGGAAGAACUCUCUAGUACUUUGUAUUCACUACAUAUAUAGCCUUUGGCAUAUCAUUUUGUAUCAAGAGAGUUACAAUAAGAAGUAAUACAAGAGCUCUGCUGUAGCAACUCAGAUUUCCCAUAAACUUGUUAAGUAUUUCCAUCCCUCUACACUUCUUACACGAUCCACGCAUGAGUUUUGGUUGAAAUCCCAAUUCUGCAUACUGCAUGUACAAAGACACAUAUUUUCUAUUUCUACAGAAAAUUUAUCAACAUUAUUAGUUCAUUCCACCAUUUAAUUUCCAUAACUUUCUGUGCAACUAAACACAAAAUAAACAUGACAGAAAAAACAUACAGAUUAAGAAGCAAACUUACUCGAAUUGAUAGGCAUAAUCGACGAGGUUGAUGCUGGGAAAAACAACAGGGCCUCUCGAAGGACAUGCAUGGAACGAUUUUCUCAGAGGAAGACGAUUGUUCUCUGCAGGAUCAAACAUUCUCCUAAAACAAUAUGACUGAUUUGUGGAUCAAAUUAAAACCCAAAAAUCAAUCAAAACCCAGAAAUCCAAGAAAUAAAUCAGAAUGCAGAAAUCCCAGAAGUAAAUCAAAACCCAUAAUCGAUUAAACCCAGAAAUCGAUCAAAACCAGAAAUCGUUCAAAACCCACUAAUAAUUUCACGAAUCUUCAAAACAAAAUCGAAGAAAAUGAAGAAGAUGAAGUGGAAGAGGAAGCUCUGAGAGGCUUAUGCGGAUGCGGUGUUGGUCGAGGAAUGGUCCGGCAAGGCUAUGGAGCAAAGCGGGAUGACGAGAGAGAUGACGGUCUUACUAGUCCGCUAGAAUUCGAGGGGUCUCGCUAAGACGAUCUAGCGAGCCCCUUAGUCGAGGCGAGUGAAGGGUAAUCCCACUAAAGCUAGUCCGCUUGUGUAACAAACAUAGGAUUGUCCUAAUUUCUAAUCUAGUCUAGUCCAAUGAAACCUAGUGAAGGUAAACAAACACACCCUAAAAGUCCUAACAAAGACCGACAAUAGUAACGUGGGGCUGGGAUAAAAAGUUGUGUCAAAAUCACACCUUUUUUAUUUCUUUUUAACAGGAGUACCAUUUGUUAGCAUGCUGGAUGAGAGAAGAGACUACGAAUCAACGUCAACUAAUAUGGUGGGUUUCUAAAUUGUUCCAUUGACCAUCCCAUACCAAAUUGUAUAUCUGCUUUUUGUUUGUUAUUGUUACAAUUUUUUCUUUUCAUCCAUCUGUAUUGCUGUUAUCUUUGAGUCAAAAUGAGGUGUACAAUUCAGCCGGCAUAUAGGAGAAACGAAAAACUUGUACUUUGUAUAUCACCUCCAAUCCAUUGUUCAUGAUAUCUCCGUACGUGUGUCCUUUGUACCACUUGUAAUAGAAUUUGUUUCCAUUCAAAGGGAAUCUAGAAUCUUAUGCUCACUUCAUUGUUGCUAAUAUAGUAAAAAUUAUUCGGAAUCUGACUUUCGAUGUGAUCUGGGUACUGUAAGUCUUGACUUUAUCAAUAGGAUGGAGCAUCUUGACCUAAUCUUCUGACUCAGAGCUUAUGAAUAUUCCCCUGCUCCCAAAAUCCAGGUAGAUGCUUAAUUCUUACUUAAUACUUAAUAGGUUGUUGAUUCUGCUUCCAAUUCCUUUCCCACAGAUUCUAUCUGAAUAGAAGACCCCUAAUUAUGCGUUCCAAAUAGUGAAUAGAUGCUUAAUUAUGCUUUAGUUACUGUUUAGGUAAAAACAGUUGCGGAUUAAAGUGAUGAUGCAGGGUAUUUAGUAUUUACUGAACGGUGGUAAAGUUUUAUAUGUGGAUAGCUUUGGUUAUUUUCAGAAGUUGCUGCGUAAAAUUAUUAAUUUGGCUACACCAAAUCUUUUGUCGUAUGGAUCGUUAUAGUUUCGGCCAUCGUUUAUUGGAGCUUUGAUCGUCCAUGGUCUUAUGACUUUAUGGAGACCUCUGUUCUUGGUGGAAAAUGUUCAGAGUUACACACAACCAUAUGGUUUAAUUAUGAUAAGUGUGGACGACGUGACACGCGCUAUAACCUGAGUGAUGGGUAACACCAGGGCCGUGUGACAGUUACACCGAAAUUUUUUUAUUCUUAAUUCUCCAGUUCCAACUAUGAUCUUAUCAUCACCAGCUGAUUCAGCACCAUCACAUGCCUCUCCUAGCUUCUUUGCAACUCAUCCUUCAUGGGUUGAAUUGAAAAAUAAAAACCCUAGCUUCCAAGAAGGUACAUUCAAGACCUCCCCCAUUCCUGGGACCCUGACUUCCGUGAGACCGACCCUACCAGCAAGGAAAAAGACCGGUGACGGUGGUGGCCCAGAAGAUUUCCGGCGGUUGGCAGUUCGGACAACAACAACAACAAAGCCUUUUCCCACUAAGUGGGGUUGGCAGUUCGGACAAAAAAAAAAUUUACAAAAUCUGGCCUUUGUCAAAUUUACAGGAGGACCCCUGGAUGAGCUGGUGAGGCAUGCAUGCUGGGGUGUUGAGAAAUAGGGAACAAUCGCUCGAAGGAUGAGAUUAUCCUGUGCCCAAACUAAGCAUAUGCGAGGGGCUAUUAAAUUCGAUUUGAGUUUUUGGCCAGCAUUUGGCUCUUUGCCCAUGUGAAAACGUUUGAUCAAUUGGGGAUUGGAAAAAACAUAUCAUUGAUGUGCUGAUCUGUUGGGACUUGGAGCAAAAAAGACCACCCCUAUCCAAGAUAUUUUCUUCAACUUUACACUUAAACGUUUUGGAAAAACAAGGGGAAAGAGCAAGAUCGAUUAAAUUGCCACAAGAUGUAUUAUUAUUUGAUGUGAUUAUUGGUUUGUAUAAUUUACAAGGUGGUAUGGAUCAUGCUAGAAACAAUCGUUCACUCCAUAUGAAAUUUGGAAAAUCUUUUAUCAGUUUGAUUAGAUAUGGAAACACAAUCAGACACAUACUUGGUCACUAAAUUUGAGAAAUUUGAGAUGAUUCAACAAUUUAGUACGACAUUUUGAUAAUUUGGAGUGGGCUGGAGUACACUGUGAGUCCGUGAUUGUCCUUACUAGUCCACUAUAGUCAACCCUUGAGUCAAUAUCUGUCUAUAAUGGAAUUAAUAGUGGGCAAUCACUCACGAGUAACAUGCACUAGAAUAGCUCGUAGUCUUAAAAGGGGCAUUGGUUAGUCGAAAGACAUAACAAAGUGAAACACCCCUUUCAUUAGUUUCAUUAGUGAAGUUGCUUACUUAUCACAUAAACGACUGUUCUUAGCAUUCUUAUCUUUUACAUUGACUUAUCAUCAUCAUUAUCAUAUGAUUGUAAGAGGGGGAAUUUAAUGGGUAGGUUUUUCCACUAACUUGGAAUUUGUAUGGCUGAGGUUCCCAAAAUUAAUCUUAUGGUUAUGAUUGAGGCACUUGAGGGACUCAUCAUGUUCUUGAAUCAUCCACAAAACAAAAAGUAGUGGAUGUGGCUGGAUAAGGUUCUCUUCGGAUCUUGUUUGUGAGGAUUCUGAAAAUCAUUUCAUCGUAUUUGUUCAUUGUAUAUUAUGCAAUCAAUUUUCGUGAAGUACUAUUUGUAUUUAAUUUUAAAUAAAAUAAUUCAAAAUAAUUGAUAACCACAAGAUGACAAAUAAACGGACAUGAUAAAGUGAUUUUCAAUGUUGAGAGGAUUCGGAUAUGAUCUUAUUCCGACGUGUCCCCAUCCAAUACAUUUGACUUAAAAAUGUUAUAGUAUUAUUUGGGUGGCUUUUCUUCACCUGAGAAGAUGUAAACUUUUCUUGCCUUCGUGGCUAACUCUGUUCAUUUGUUCGGUAACUGUCAAUGUUGUUGGAGCACGAAAAUCAAUCAUGAAAAUUAAAUAUGUAAAGGAUAAUCUUUUUAUAUAAAUAAUCAGCAAACUUUGUCAUUGCCUACGUGUAUUUACCUUCAAAGAACAUAGCAAUAGUGAGAUUAGAGAAUAAAUAAUAGAAUUAUGAAUUUCUUGAUCACCAAAUGAGUUAGAGAAUGUAAAAUAAGAAGUUAAUUACAAUCAAUUGAUUAUAAAAUACGAGGACGUAUUGAAAAUGGUGAAUUGCGCGGUGGUUAAGGCAUUUUUCUUCAAUUCAUUGUGCAUUAUAUCAUAUUCUCUCAUAUUAAGGUAAAUUAGUGUAGAAUAUCGCUUGUACUUUAAAAAAAUAUUAAACUAUGUUUGGAUAAGGGAUUUACAGUAAAUUAAUUAUAAAUUCACUAGACUAAUUGAUCAUGCAAAAAUAACUUACCUAAUUUUUUGUUAAAAGAAAUUAUUUAAUUAACAACGAGGGAGACUUGAACUCGAAUGCAAUAAGACGACAACAGUGCCUUGGCCGAUAGACCAAACUCACAACAAUAAUAACCCAAAGAAGGAGUUUGAACAAGAACUCACAUGUCUAACAUCAUUGUCCGGCGACCGGAAUUGUGCCUCAUGGUGUGCUAUUAGUACACAUAACAUGAUGACUAGCAGGUGAACAAAACGACAACGUCUAGAGAUUAUGGCUAGGAUUGGGCCUGUAACACUGAUGUAUGGAAGUAUGCUUAGAGACAUGUUGGUCUAGAUCUUGUAGUUUUGAGACCAUAGCGAC
rnacentral:lncRNA from 1 species